rnacentral:lncRNA from 1 species
UUUUUUUUUUUUUUUCUUGCAGUUGGUGAACCAUGGAGUUAACCCUAUGCUGUUAGAGAAUCUGGAACAUGAGAUUGAAGUAUUCUUUAAGCUUCCCUUGGAAGAGAAAAUGAAAUAUGCAAUAAGGUCAGGUGAUGUUGAAGGCUAUGGAAACAUAGCCAAGACCAAAGACCAAAAGCUUGACUGGGGUGAUAGGUUCUAUAUGAUAACCAACCCUAUUCAUCGAAGAAAGCCGUACCUCUUCGCAGAGCUCCCUUCAUCCAUCAGGUCCUCUCUCUCAUAAAUCUUAAGAGCCCAUUUGAUAACAAAAUGAAACAAAAGCUGAAAACUUAAAUGAAGAUGAUUAUGAAAUGGCACCUAAACUUGUAUACAAUUGUUCUCUUACACAUUCAAACACACAUGCACCCAGUUUUUCUAAAUUUUUAUUGAAUUUGACAUGUUUUCUUGGUAUAUGCUAGGAAUACCUUGGAGUCAUACUUUAUGGAAUUGGACCAACUUGCCAUGAGACUUCUUGGGUUUAUGGUGAAAGCUCUGAAGACAGAUAUGAGAGAGAUAGAGGAGUUGUUUGAUACAGACGGGAUGCAAUCAGUGAGGAUGACAUACUAUCCUCCAUGUCCACAACCAGAGCUGGUUGUAGGGCUCUCACCUCACUCAGAUGUAUGUGGGAUCACCAUCCUCAACCAGCUUAAUGGAGUUGACGGUCUCCAAAUUAAAAAAGACGGGGCUUGGAUGCCUGUCAACUUCCAAAAAGAUGCCUUUGUGGUGAAUGUCGGGGACAUUUUUGAGGUUUGUCCUGUAUAUACUUCUUUCCUCGCACUUCUUUUCUGGGCUAUAUUCGACCAUAAAGUAGAAAAAAAAAAGAUAAUAAAUGAAAGAGAAAAAGACUACUAGGUUAGCAAACGUGGGAUUUCGAAUCUCUAUAUAUUAGUAUGUGGGAAUAUUUGAAAUGAAAUUGUUCAGUACUGUACAAGCACUAGGUGCGGACAAUAAUUAACUGUCGCAUUUGAUUUCAAUGAUUUAACUGAAGAAUGAUUGUUAGACCAAAUUUAACGAUUAAAUAGGUGACACUAAAUAUAUAAAUAAUAAACAACAUUAGUAAAAUUGAGGCAUAAAUUAGAAAAUUAAUACUAAUUUAUUCCUCACUAUUAGUGUGCGGGACAGGCAACUAAUACUACUUAAGUGAAACGGUGCGUAUUGCUUUGUCAGUAUUAUUGGAUUGGGCUGUAGGAUGAACAAACAACGCUGUAGAAAAUUGGUUAAUGUAAGAAGAAUGAACAAACAACGCUGUGGAAAAUUGGUUAGUAUUAAGAAAAAUGCUAAGUAGAUUAUGUUUUUAGAUCAUAUUUUGUGGAUCACAUGAUGUGACGGUUGAUAAUUAGAUUUAUUCUUCCACAUCAUGUGAUCUACAAAAUAUAGUUUAAGUAAACGAUCUUUCUAGUAUCACUUAAAUGUUAAUGGGUUGAGACUGUUGAGUUCGAUCAUUUAACAAUAAAUUAAAAACUUGAAUCUAUCAUAUUAGUACAACACUUGGCUUCACAUCACAGCUUGAGUCCUUGUUCUUGCAAUGAUAACGAGUAAUCGUUUCACAUUGUCACUGGAGAAGGAAUGAUCUUUUAUAUGUAAAGAGUCAAAUCAAUUCAUUCAUUUUAUUAUAUGUGUAUUUAUAUGGUAAUACUAUACCUUAGAUCAUGGCAUAUAUGGGGACAUACCAAUAUUAAGGAAAUUUUAUAUUACAUUUGCAGAUGCUGAGCAACGGAGUUUACAAAAGCAUUGAACACAGGGCAAUGGUGAAUUCAGAGAAAGAAAGGGUGUCGGUUGCGAUGUUCUUCAGCCCUAAAUUUGAGGCAGAGAUUGGGCCACUCAGAAGCUUGAUAACCCCAGAAAACCCACCACUGUUCCAAGGGGUUGGGAUGGAAAAGUACGUCAACGAUUUCUUCUCCCGCCUUAGGCUUGACGGGAAAUCGUACUUGGAGCAAAUGAAAAUCUAAAAUGCUUGAUUAAGGACUGAUCGAUCGCUUAUUCGAUCAAUGAGCCGUUAAUCAGGAUAUAUAGUACUAUAUGGUGUGACAAUAAUUAAAGUUGUGCAUAUAUAUAUACUGUAUAUGCAUAUGCUUUUCCAAAUGUGUGGAUUCUGGAAACUGGGAAUGAAUCAAUAUAUACUGUAUAUGCAUAUGCUUUUCCAAAUGUGUGGAUUCUGGAAACUGGGAAUGAAUUAUACUCCUAUGAAAUAAGGCGUUCCUUGUAUAUAGCAGCAAGAAAGCCAGCUUCUAUUUGGUAUGUUGUGUAUCCUAUAUAGUAAAGUGAGAAAGGAAAUAAAAUGUGUGGUUGUUUUAAUAAAGUGAUGAUUAUUGUGUUAUAUAUCGUUUUAUAUCUUAUAAAAUUCCCUGAUUAUUUAUACACAGUUAUGUCUUACAAAACGAAAUAAUUCUUGAAGAAGUUUUUGAAUUCCAACUUGACAUGAAUCAUGUUUUCGAUCGUGUUAGGGUGAGUUUGGUACGAUUUCAUAAGAGUGUUCUUAGUUUGUGUUGAUGCACAAAAUCAGUGAAGAUUUUGGUACAACAGAAAGUGUUAAGUUUGUGACAUUCGCUAGAUUGCUCCGGUCACUAGUGUGGAUAAGUAUGUAAAUGAAUGGAGAUAGGGAAACAAACACAAGAUGUACGUGGUUCACCCAGAUUGGCUAUGUCCACGGAGUAGAGGAGUUCUCAUUAGGGUUUACACAAAUACAUAGGUUCAAGCUCUCCUUUUGUGAGUACUAGUGAAUAAUUUAGUACAAAUGACAUUAGGGAUUAUUGUGGAAGAAUGAUCUCCUUUUAUAAAAGAGAGUUUCUAGCUUUGUUCUGGCCUUGACACAUGUCAUGCUGUGAUUGACCUUUGAUGUUGACACGUGUCGCUUUGUGAUUGGCCCAUUGAUAUUGAAACGCGUUGCACUGUGAUUGGCCUUUUGGUUGGAGGAAAACUCUUCUGGGUCCUUGACGGUAUAACGUUGACCGGUGCUUGGUAGUUUCGAGAUUGGUCAAGUAUGGUACAAAUAAUGCUCCCCUAAGUAGAUGUGGCAUCUUCUGGGUCCUUGUGGUAUCGUUUUCACUUGCCUUAUCUGUCUCAUAAGUAGAUGUGGCAUCUUCUCUGGAAAUACUUUUCCUCCAUCCAGGGAUGGUAUCUUUAAACGAUGGAGAUGCACAAGGUAAUGUAAUGUAUCAAUUUCACUUGAAGCUUACUUGUAGUUUCGGGCUUGGUCAAGCGCGAUACAAACCCUAUAGUAGUAGUCUUCCAAGUCUCUGAGCGAGGAGAUCUGUCGAAAGAGGUGACAUACAAAGUAAGCAAUCAGAGUUUCAACAGUCAGUCUUAGAUCGAAAGUUUGAUCUCGUGUUCCAGUUGAUUGUUCUCCUUCUCCUUGUUCUGUAGACAUCAACAAGGACAAAGAAAAGGAUAUAGAGAAGAGAUGAUAUGAGAUAUUUUUGCUUUUGAAGAAGUAACUUUCCACAGGCUUAUUCUUGAACUGGGCUGAAGGGUUUUCUAGUUUCCUCCAGAGUAUAAUGCUGACUCAAGAAUUUGAAGGUCAAAACAAGUCUAUCAAAUCAAGAGUGUGUUCGACCUUGAUGAUAUGGGAUAUUUUUUUUGUUGACAAAGUAAUAGAUGAAUCGGCACGUGUUAUAUUGCGCUUGUCUCCACAUGCUUCCUUGUAUUCUUCUCACUUGCCCUAUCUGUUCCUCAUGCAGAUGUGGUAUCUUUUCUAAAAGCAUAAGAUGUUAAAGAUAAAUACUCGAGAGCAAUGCCAGGUAAGUAAUUAGGCAAGGAGUUCCUAACUGGAAGCUUGAUUCCAAGUGCUGAUUGAUUGCUCUCUUUCUCUUUGUCUUACAGGUAAGAACAAUGGCAAAGGAAAAGACAGGGAAAAACAUGAUAUGGGAUACUCUUGCUUUUAACCUUGAUGAUAUGAGAUGUUCUUGCUCUGGUGUGGCUUGUUUGCAGAGGUAUUAUUGGGGGGAAAAGAAGUUGAGUAUUUUGAGAGACUAUGCUAAGAGUGCCCUUUCGGAUGUGAAGAAAAGUUGAGCAUUUUUUUUAUUUGCAGGUCUGCCUGGCUAUAGAGGAUGAAUGUCGACAUAUAUAAGAAUUGUCCUAACAGCCUGUAGUAACGUUGUUCCUUUACCCUUCUCGAUCAUAGCAAUAUAGUGGGAGCUGCAAGAUUCACAUGUUUUAACUUUGUCAGAGCACUUUGAAAAAGUGGUCUGUGGUAUCUAAAAAACUGAUGUUGCGUGUGAAGAUUUCAUACAAGCUUUAUCCAAGGAAAUCUAGCUCUCGAAGUUUGGAGAGCGGUGCCUCUUCGAUUUUCGAACAAGCAAUCUUGUCGGGGAUCUGGCUCUCGAGAUUCGGAGAACAGUGCCUUUUCAAUUUUUGAGAAAGCAAUCAUGUUGGGAGUCUGGCUUUCGAGAUUCGGAGAGCAGUGCCUCUUCGAUUUUUGAGAAAGCAAUCCUGUUGGGAGUCUUGACUUUCGAGAUUUGGAGAGCGAUGCUUCUUAGAUUUUUUAGAAAGUAAUCAUGUUGGGAGUCUGGUUCUCGAGAUUCGAAGAGCGAUGCCUCUUCCAUUUUUGAGCAAGUAAUCCUGUUGGGAGUCUGGCUCUCGAGAUUCAGAGAGCGGUGCUUCUUCGAUUUUUGAGCAAGUAAUCCUAUUGGGAGUGUUUUCUCGAAUGUGAGUAAAUGUUGGGCAUUUUUGCCAGUCUGCUUUGCCACUGAUCACGAAGGUUGACACACAUAGGGACUUUCCAGUUAUUAAGCAGUGAUGCUGUUCCUUUACCCACGUGGGUAAUAGUAGGGUAGUUGGACCUUCAAAAUUUAUGUGCCUAAAUUUUGUCAGAGAUCUUUGGCAAAGUUAUUUGUGGUACCUGAGAAGCUGAUGUUACGUGUGGAGAUUGUCGACAAAUUUUACUCAGGAAAAUCUAUUUCUCGAAGUCCGAAGAGUGGUGCCUCUUCGAUUUUUGAACUAACGGUCAUGUUGCCCUUUCUUUUAUAGGGCACCAAUUGUGUGCAAGAAGUACGUUCAGAGAGUUAUUGCUUGUAGGAAUUUUCCCCUUAUUUUUAUAAUUCACAGAUUUAUUGGACUUCAUUUCUCCUUCAUCAUUUCUGAAAAUGUCUGGCCCAUCUGAUCGUCGUUUUGACUUGAACUUUGAUGAAGAGGCAGUCAUGCCUCCUCAAGACAACAUAUGACGCCCAUCCUUCUUAUCCCUUACUGGUCAUCUUACCGUUGAGGACUCUGUAAUGAAGAAUGAUAUGAUUGUUGCGGUGGUGGCUAGGAACCUUCUCAUUCCCAAAGAUAACAGACUACUUUCAAAACGGUCUGAUGAGUUGGCUGUUAAGGAUUCUCUUGCUCUCAGUGUUUAUUGUGCAGGUUCUAUGUCUAAUAUGACCUAACGCUUAUUUGCUCGAACCCGUCAAGUUGAAUCAUUGGCGGCUGAAGUGAUAAUUCUCAAACAGGAGAUCAGAUGGCUCAAGCAUGAGAAUAAACAGUUGCAUAGGCUAGCACAUAACUAUGCUACAAACAUGAAGAUGAAGCUUGACCAGCUGCAGGAAUCUGAUGGUCAGAUUUUACUUAAUCAUCAGAGGUUUGUGGGUUUGUUCUAAAGGCAUUUAUUGCCUUCAUCUUCUGGGGCUGUACUGCAUAAUGAAGCUCCAAAUGAUCAACCUUCGGUGCCUCCUCCUUCUGGGGUUCUGCCUAGUACUGAGACUCCUAAUGAUCACCCUCCGGUGCCUCAUCUUUCUGGGGCUCUGCCGACUGCGGAGACUUCUCCUGAGCAACCUUUGUGAAGGCUCUAUCUUGUUUGUUUAUUUUGAUUCAUGUUUAUGUACAUAUUUGUAACUUAUCGGAGGUAUCAAUAAAUAAGCUUUACUUCAUUUCAACGUAUUGUGUUAAAUAUACCAAGGUCUCCCUCACUAAGUUCUUUGAUUUUUUUUCUUUUGUUGAAGCUUGUAUGUUGAAACUUUAUGAGUGAAGUAUGUAGGUUGAGGUAAUGCUCCCUUAAUUUCCCGAGUAAGGAAAACUUUUCGGUUGGAAACUUGAAAAAUUCAAGUCACUGAGUAGUCGUGAAACUUCCAAAUACCGAGGUGUAGUAGCAUAUGGUAGAAGUCCCCCACGUCUUCGGUCAAGGGAGUUGAUAAAGGAUGUGUCUUGCUAGUAGUCAAGUUUCCAAAGUAAUAAAAUUUCACCAUUUUCCUUUCUAAGUGGUAGCCCAAAACUCCUCAUUCAUAUAUAUUUGUUAUGAAAGUUGUUAGGCCUAAAGAAGAUGAGGCCUAGGCCUUUAUAGGUGAAGCUUUGUAGGUGAAACUUUGGUGUUAAAGCUUUGUAGGUGAAGAUUUAAGGUUGAAGUUUUGUUGGGUACCAUGAAUUGAUUUUGCUUCACACUAUCUUGAUCAAGAAUGUGAAGCUUUUGGCAUUUGUAGUUGAAGCUUUGUAGGUCAAGCUUUUGUGUUGAAGCUUUGUAGGUGAAGCUUUGUAGGUGAAGCUUUGAAGUUGAAGCUUUUGUAGGUGAAGCUUUUGUAGGUGAAGAUUUUGUAGGUGAAGCUUUGUAGGUGAAGAUUUUGUAGGUGAAGCUUUGUAGGUGAAGCUUUGGAGUUGAAGCUUUUGUAGGUGAAGCUUUGAAGUUGAAGUUUUUGUAGGUGAAGCUUUGGAGUUGAAACUUUGUAGGUGAAGCUUUGGAGUUGAAGUUUUGUAGGUGAAGCUUUGGAGUUGAAGUUUUGUAGGUGAAGCUUUGGUGUUGAAGUUUUGUAGGUGAAGCUUUUGUGUUGAAACUUUUGUAGGUGAAGUUUUGGAGGUGAAGCUUUGUAGGUGAAGCUUUUGUGUUGAAGCUUUGUAGGUGAAGCUUUGUAUGUAAAGCUUUGGAGUUGAAGCUUUUGUAGGUGAAACUUUUGUAGGUGAAGCUUUGGAGUUGAAGUUUUUGUAGGUGAAGCUUUUGUAGGUGAAACUUUUGUAGGUGAAACUUUGUAGGUGAAGCUUUGGAGUUGAAGCUUUUGUAGGUGAAGCUUUGGAGUUGAAGCUUUUGUUGGGUACCAUGAAUUGAUUUUGCCUCACACUAUCUUGAUUAAAAGUGUGUGAAGCUUUUGAGAAUUGUAGUUGCCCUCCAUUUGUUGAAGCUUUUGUAGUAAAGAUUUUGUAGGUGAAGCUUUGAGGUUGAAACUUUGUUGGGUACUAUGAAUUGAUUUUGUUUCACACUAUCUUGAUAAAAAAUGUGUGAAGUUUUUUAGAAUUGUAGUUGCCCUCCAUUUGUUGAAGCUGUUGUGGUGAAGUUUUGGUGUUGAAGCUUUAUAGGUAAAGCUUUGAGGUUGAAGCUUUGUUGGGUACCAUGAAUUGAUUUUGCUUCACACUAUCUUGAUCAAGAGUGUGUGAAACUUUUAAGAAUUGUAGUUGCCCUCCAUUUGUUGAAGUUGUUGAAUUUCCCAAUUUCCCAAUUUGAAGCUUCAAUUGUAGUUGCCCUCCAAUUGUUGAAGUUAUUGAAAAUGUGGGAAAGACAACAUAUACAAAUUUUGCUUCCACACUAUUGAGCAAAAGAUUGUGCUGUAAAUCACACCUUAUAGUAGUCGAAGGUUUGGAUGAACCAUAUAAAUUGAAUUUGCUUCGAACAGUUGUGAUCAAGAGUGUAUGAAGCUUUCUACGAGUUGUAGUGUUUGUAUUGUUGCAGAGGAAAAAUCUCUGAAGCAGAUGUAAGAGGGCUGAAGAGCUUAAUCUUCGUAUACCAUGCACUGAAGCCGUUGUUGGCUUGUAAUAAGACUUUGUUGGUGACUAUAACUCUUGUUAGGCAUAAGUGUUCCCCUAGUUGAGUUGUAAAGUUUAAGGGUUUUUUUAUUAUUUGUGAAUGCUAAGAGUUCACAUGUACAAGUUGUACCACUCGUCUUCUGGUUGGUGGAAUGAAUGGUGAGUUGCUUUCAUCACUUGGUUGGUGGUAUGAAUGUGAGAUCCUUCAUCACCUUUCAUCACAUUUCAUCACCUGGUUGGUGGCACGAAGAUGAGUUCCUUCUUCACCUGGUUGGUGGCACGAAGAUGAGUUCUUUCUUCACCUGGUUGGUGGCAUGAGUGGCAAGUUCCCAAAUGAUAUUAGAGUACGGGUUGUACAUUUCAUCACCUGGUUGGUGACAUGAAGGAAAGUAUGGGUUGUACAUUUCAUCACCUGAUUAGUGGCAUGAAGAUAAGUUCAUUCCUCACCUGGUUAGUGGCAUGAGUGGCAAGCUGCCAAAUGAUAUUAGAAUACGAGUUGUACAUUUCAUCACCUGGUUGGUGGCAUGAAUGAGAGUACGGGUUGUACAUUUCAUCACCUGGUUGGUGGCAUAAAGAUGAGUUCAUUCUUUACAUUUCAUCACUUGGUUGGUGAGAAUAAGGGCAAGGUGUCGAGGCACAUUGUAGCAAGUGUUGAAUGACACAAAGUAUGUUGAACCCUUUCGAAGCACAGUUGCCUUAUGUGUGGAUGUGUUGGAAUGUAUGAUGUUUAUGUAUGAAUGUGUUAGAAUGUAUGAUGUUUAUGUUGAUUGACAUGAGUGAUGCUUAUGAAUGUUUUGUUAUGCAUGAAGGGAUCCAUGCUUUCGAUAUGUGAACCAUGUUGGUUGUAACACUUAAUAUCAUAUACUUUAUGUCAAAGUACGCAUGUUGAAGCUCUGAAUUGGGGUAUAGGGGUAGGUCAGUGUAGACCAAGUGUUCCAGUGCUAGGAAUGCAAAAGACUCAGAAGAAGUUGUCUGAAUUUCUUCUUCUUUAAAUAUUUGUCGAAUGACUUGUGUGACAAAAGAUCUCAAGCGGUUGAGAGUCAAAACAUUUGUAAUAUGUAUGCCUUCUUAUAAUAUCAUUUCCUUUAGUACCUAGUCCUCCACUUUGAAAGAGUGAAGCUUGGCCUCAUAGUCAUAAUAGUUGAUAAUACGUUCACCCUUGAUUGUCUUGAUACGAACUUUUAUCCCGCUUGUUGUAAUGGGCUUGCUGAGAGUAAAAAUCAUUCCUAUUACCAAGAGUCAAAUACAUUUGGUGACUUAGCGAGUAGCUAAAUGAGGCAGAAGAUGAUGCAGUGGGUGUCUGAAUGGCCAAUAUCUCCUCACUUAGUAGAACUUGACUUCCACUUCCCACUUGUUGAUAGGGGUUAACCAUAUGAGGGUUCCCUUAGUAUGUCCUUACUUCGUCGAAUGCGUGGUUAUAAGCAUGUGCCAUCACCUCAGAGUAAGUCUUCCAAGUGUUGGCAUUUAUCAUGUGCUUGAAGAAACAAUCACGUAGGCCUGCCGUGAAGGCUUUGAGUGCGGUCUUGUCAUUUGCCUCAGCGCAGCGAGAAUACUCAUGGCUGAAUCGACCGGCAUACUAUCGUAGUGACUCGUAUGGCUUCUGGUGAAUAAUGUACAAGUCAUCUGCAGAAUGUAAGUGAUCGGUCUGGAAGAUGUGUCUCGGGUGGAAAACGAUAAUACCAGUUUAGAGCUCCGCCAGAGAGGGUGGAAGGGAAGAGAAGACAUCGGUUUUCGUCGGUGUGCAUCUGAUAUGCCAUGGUGGACUCAAAGAGGUUAAGGUGUUCAAUCGGGUCCUCUAUUCCAGUAUAGAGUUGUAAACCAAGCUUUUGUUUUAUCUUCGCUUAAAGGGGGUGUCGAGGAUCCUCCUUGUGAGAGGGCCAGGCCUGGGUUGGUUCCAGUCAGGUAUCUCGACCUGAUGUUCGGCCUCAACUUGUUUACUUCCUCAAGGAGUUGUAGGAUAAAUGGGUCCUGAGUGAAGUCAUGUACCACUGGAAUUUUCUUCCGUAAGUCUCCAUCGUCUCUCGGAAGUAGGAAAGUUUGAGCAAGAGAAUGUGAUUUUUCCUUGGACUCGCCGUACUGACUUCUAGGGCGAAUCUGUCGGAAUACCUCCAAGCCCCAUGUACCUUCAUAUUCCUCUAGGACUUGUCGUUCCUUCCUUAGAUGGGCAGCUGGCCUGGGUUGUGAGAGGGAACUGAGUUUUUCAGAAACCCUUGGAUAAUUGAUCUUCGAGCUUAUAUGGAAGGGAUUCUCUUGACGUUGCUUUAGAAAGUCUCGGCAGUUACGAUAAAGGGCUUUCGAUCCUUCCAACCCUUCUGCAAGGAGGAUCUUCCUCAACUUUUCCUGCUUCGGGUCGAAGCAGUUGGGUUGAGAGAAGUCUCAUGUUGAUCAAUGUUUUGAUGAUUAGCUCGCUUCUCAUCAGGGAUACCUAUGUCGAAGGAAGGUGACCCUUCGUGUUAAGGGCACCCAAAUGAUGGUUGAUGUCCACAGGGGCAACAAGCUUGCGUGUUUGAGUACGCCUAGUUUCGUGGAACGUUUCGAAGAGCUUUUCAUAUUGUUCUUGGAGGAACUCAUUCUUUAUUGCUAUCUUGUUGUUUUAAGCCUUCAGCUUAUCGACUUUAGCUUGAAGAACGAGCUUAUUUCAUUCCUUCUUUCGUUGCUUCGCACUAGGUGCAAGAUGAGUAUCAUAUUGUGUGCCGUGGCUUCCUCUGCUCCCCAUGUUGGAGAGGGAUGCCUGGUCAAAAGAGAGUGUACGAAUGAUGGAAACCAGCUUGACAAAGCUGAAGAGAGUAGGAAUAACUGUCGUUCCCACAGAUGGCGCCAAAUGUUGAUGCACAAAAUCAGUGAGGACUUUGGUACAACAGAAAGUGUUAAGUUUGUGACAUUCGCUAGAUUUCUCCGGUCACUAAUGUGGAGAAGUAUGUAAAUGGAUAGAGACAGGAAAGCAAACAGAAGAUGUACGUGGUUUACCCAGAUUGGCUACGUCCAUGGAGUAGAGGAGUUCUCAUUAGGGUUUACACAAGUACAUAGGUUUAAGCUCUCAUUUUGUGAGUACUAGUGAAUGAUUUAGUACAAAUGACAUUAGGGAUUAUUGUGGGAGAAUGAUCUCCUUUUAUAUAAGAGAGUUUCUAGCUUUGUUCUGGCCUUGACAUGUGUCAUGCUGUGAUUGGCCUUUGAUGUUGACACGUGUCGCCCUGUGAUUGGUCCCUUGGUGUUGAAACGUGUUGCUUUGUGAUUGGCCUCCUGAUUGGAGGGAAACUCUUCUGGGUCUUUGACGGUAUAACGUUAACCGGUGCUUGGUAGUUUUGGGAUUGAUCAAGUAUGGUACAAACAGUUUGUUAUUCUCACCUGCAUAAUUUCUCAUCCACCUGUAAAUAAAAAUAUUAAUGUCAAUUCAUGCUGUUGAGAGUAUCCCCUUUUGUGGGUUACAUCUAUAUAUGUCCAAGUUUAUAUUGCAUGGCCUUAUUUUUUUACAGCGCCAAGGGAGAUGCCAAAGUUGCCAACUUGUUUCGAAGAAACAGAAGAAUGAAAGAGCUAAAAAAACAAAUCCACAACUCCUGGGAAAACCAGAGGUGAAUAUUCGACGUCGUUGCAAACUUGCAAUAUUCAGUUUCUUUAUUGUAUUUUUGUACAAUAUCCAACAUCAUGUGCAAUAUCCGCUAACCCUAUCUUGGCAAUGUGUUCAAUGAGUGUUUUCUGCACACCUGGGUUUGAAAUUUCAUCAUGUUUGAUAUGGUGCUAGUAUUUCUAUUUAUACAGGUACAGGUAAUUAGUGCAGUAUAUAUCUUCUCAGGGAUAAAUUUCUUAUCAAAUGUCUGAACUAGGGUUGUACAGAAUCAUGAGCUUGUAGACAGUUAAUUUUCAGAUUUAUUUUCCUUGCAAGUUGAGUGUGUGAUUUGAGUUGGCAGUGUGAAUCCCACAUCGGAGAUUUAAAGAAAUUUGCAUGUGCUUAUAAGGGGUGGGUUAGUUCUCCUAUUGCCAAUUAGUUUGACGAUGAAACUUCUACUUCUCGUACAUUAUCUGAUGUUAUCCACAUGCGCUCACAUCACCACGUCACCCAAUAUGGUUGUGCACGUUUUAGGCUUAAAUAUGACAAAAUAUGAUUCUUAUACGUAACCUACAAAAAGGAAGAUUUAAACAUGAGAGCUCAAGUGCAUAAGCGUAUGCUCUUAAGUCACCAAUUGAGCUACAAGGCACGUGCAACCUGCAACAUCUAAUUCACUUUUAAAAUUGAAAUGGUUGAUGUGUGGGAUUAAAUUAUUCUAUCAACUUCAAAAUUGCCCCCAUUCCAUGAUGCCACUUGUUUUUCUUAUAAAUAACACAACACAUGGAAUGCAUAUUGAACAUUGGUGAGAAGUAAGAUUAAAAUCAUAUCAAAGAUCGAUCCGCGCCAGCAAAUACAUGCGCUACGGCUACAUGCAUCAAGAAGUGAACAAUUAUAACUUGCGUGAACAGCCCGAAGAGAGCAAACGUUAGACAGAAGUUACUCUGCAUGCGAGUAUAGAAUGCUGUUGCAGUUUGGAAAGCACCGAGGACUACCAAAGAACAGUACUAUACACAUCAGGCUACGUAUUUAUUCUUGGCACCUCUCUCCUGUCUCAUCGCAUCCUCCUGCAAAAAACCAGAGCAUAAAGGGUGUUACUUAUUUACGAGGCCCCCAACAUGACACAAAACGGAAUAGAAUAACGAAUAAUAUACGUAAGAAACAACAUCCUUACAUGAAAUAUGUAUCCAAUAGUUUCAUUGUAAUCCAGAAACCCCUUCCAUUGUUUCCCAAUGCUCAGCUGCAGCAAGAAAGUGGCUAUGAGACAUCAUUGCAACUUUCUUUACCAGAAUGCAACUCAUAGCUAUAAAUACAAUAAGUGCACGUAAUUUGACUGUCAUAUUCUCAAAGAAAGGGCCUGUUUCCACGCUCGGUGUUUGGAGUAGGCUAUAAGUCCGGCUCAACAAAUUUAAGUUAUGUACAAAAUAGAUUCCUAUAAACCAUUUGGCCCUAGCAGCCAAGUGGCCACCUUCUUGUUUUAUAAAAGACCUUAUAUUUGACUAAAGAGGAAAGCAGUUGAAUUGCCGAGGGUCUUGACAGAUUUAGGGACAGGAAGAAACAUAGAUUGAUCAACUUUACGAAUAAUUCUUUCUUUCUUCCUUGCAGCCGGGAGGACUAAAGCAACACGAACAAAAAAAAUCCUAUGCUAUAAAUAAACAGGAAAUCUUUCCUUCUGCUAAAGCAACAAACCCAUAAAUGUGAUGUGUGAAAUUCUAUCAAAUGUAAUGAUACAAAAGUUUUAUAAUUUUCAACUUUUAUGUAUGUAAUGUGCCUUCGUGCAAUACACAACAUAUAGGGAGUCAAUCAGCAAUUACCUGAGCAGCUUCAUUUGCUGCAUUCUUGGUCCAAAGAGAUAUUUUUUCUUGCCUAGGUCUGACAUUGACAACUGCUCCACAGAUUUCAUCGCCAUGAUCAAACUGUUCUCCAAUUAUUGCUAGCAACUGAUACCAGAAAAUACAACAAUUAGAGGCCCACACACACGCACGCACGCAUGCACACAAAUAUACACAUAUCAAUUCACCCUCAAAUACCACUUUCAGUUUAGACCAUACCGUAUACAACCAAGAGGUAUCAGAUUUCCCUUUAGGAUAAGUGACAGUCCACUUUCCUCCAUUAGCACAAACAGGAUCCUCCCACUUUGGCUCAAUUUUGUAUUUGAAACAAUGGAAAUCCGUCCCCACAUUCAACUUGCUCGGAUGAUGUAUAUUGUUGUAAAUGCUGAAUGCAAAACAAAUAUUAUGAGCAAAUUUGAGUCCCUAUAAAGAAAGAGGAACAGAGGCAGACAUGCAAGUAAUUCUCAUUCCAUACAGUUUUUUUACAAAAUAUUUUGGAUUUAGAUGUCCUUAUGAAAAAGGAACCAAAGAGUUUGCUAUACAAGCGGUUUAUUACCUCAAAUCCCACAACAGAAAUACUACCGUGCUGGCUUAAAUAACAUUACUUGGAUUGCAAACAUCUACACUGAUACAUUUCGAAUCACCCCAAAGAUCUACGUAAACCGCUUCUAGCAAUUAUUUCAACGCUGUGUGAAAUCAACACGUGGAUGUAGAAAUAGACACAUUCAAUUCCCAAAUCAACUAGGAGUGAACCUGAUGAAAUAUGACUCUAUAUAUCCAGAUCAGGAGUAAUCGGGGAACCUCUAAAGUCCCAGUAUAACAGGAAAUCAAGAGACAAAUGCAACGCCAGAUUCAACACAAGAUUUCUAGGCUAACUACUUUACAAUCUCACUAAUUCUGGCAGCAUUCAUCGUUGCUAAAUCAAUCAAGGAGGCUACAGAAGAGACACAAGCAACCAAAAUCGACACAAACAACCCAAAACAUUUAUCUCAAACAGAACCGAGUAACAAAUUUACAGAAAACAUAGGAAAAGAAACGAAAACAUUGGGGGCACUAAGAAAAUGUAGGAAAACAAAAGAAACCAAAAUCUCAAACUUUAACGGUGGGGAAGCAAAUUAUCACUCUGAAUCACAGAGCAGUCCCGUUAGUUCCAUAGUUUCCAAUUUCUAGGUUUACAAUCGAUACGAAACCAAAUCCAUUUCCUUUACAAAAAAUCGCCAAAUUUGUUUUAUCACAAACUAAAGCAAGCACAUAACAAACGCAAAAGAUUCAAUCUUCUAUCAGUUUUCCUACCAACCAAACAAAAUUGAACCCAAAAACAGAGGAAAUGAAAGAAAUUAACCUCCAGAACUCCUCGACGGUAGAGAAGGUGUAGAUCGGGCGGAUGGAGCUGCCCCAAUCCUCCUGCUUGGACUUGGCGGACUUGGCGGCGGGGCUAUCGAACCAGAAGGUCCAGGAGUGCUCCAGAGGGAGUGACUGCGGCGCUAUUCCUUUCGACGGCUUCGAAGACGCCGAAUCUUGGUCGCCGACGAUCUCUCCUUCUUCGGGCUCGUCGUCGUCCUCCCUCGGUGUAGGGUUCGCCUCGGUCUUGGCCUGAUCUUCGGAAGCUGAAGUCUUGGGUGCGUCUUCGACCACCAUUGUUAGGGUUUGCUGAGGAGUUUAUUGAUCUCCCUCUUUUCUUUCUCUCUCGGCGUUUCUUGUGCGAAAUGUGAAACACUUGCGUUUCGAUAACAUUCGGGAAAAUUCUCUGAUCCUUUUUAUAUGUUUCGCCGCGGGACUCUAGGACCAUCUCCAAUCCAUCCAAUAAAGGAUUACAGAACUAAAAAUAAUAGUUCAGAAUGAUACGAAAAUCGCCUUCAAUCGAAGGCUAGGUUAAAGGGUUUGUGAAUUUCAUCGGACCCAAACCCCCCACAUCAGGCCAGCAGGUUGGCCAUUUCUAGCUAGCCAGCCAGGCCAUCAGCUCAGCCCAUUUGAAUGUCAACUCCUAUCUGGCGUCAGCAUAACGCCAGCUCGCUAACGUCAUGCUGCCAUUAGGUUACUAUUAGAAUUUGAUUUUUUUAUUGGACAAAUUUUAAAAACAAAAAAAUUAUAAUUUUUUUUCCUAUAAAUACCUACACCAUUCCUACAACAUUGAAAGCUGAAGAUAAGAAGUACCGCGUAGAUAAGAAUCUUAUCUAAAAUUGUGCACAACCAAUUACAUCUUGCCACGUGACACUCGAAAUCAUAUCUGAAAAAUUAUUAAGAAUAAACAAAGAUAAGAAAUCUGGAGAGUUACUCACUUUAGCGACAUGUGUCGCUUGAAAAUAAUAUCCACAAAAUUAUUGAGAUUACAUAAAGAUAAGAAAAGAGAGUUACUCACGUUAGCAACACGUUUCACUCAAAAUCAUAUUCAAAAAAUUAUAGAGAUUAUAUAAAGAUAAGAAAUCCGAAAGCUUAUUCAUUUGGCGACAAAUAGUACUCAAAACAUGUACAAAAACCUUAUUUUAAUACGGUAGUUUAAUUUAAUUAACCAUAUUAAUUUAAUUAAAAUAAUAAAUUUUAUUUGGCUUAUGGCCCUUUGGCCCCCUCGGUUGGAGAUGAUAUAAAAUAUGACAUAGCACUGUUUAUUAAAAUAUAAUUUAUUGCAAGACUAUAGGGCUAAAAUGGGCCAUUUGGCCAUUCUUCGGUUGGAGAUGACCUAAGGGGUGUAUUCAAUUAGGAUUUUGAGGGAUUUUAAUUCUCUUAAUGAAUAUAAGGAUAUUCAAUUAGGAUUUUAAGUGAUUCUCUAAAAUUUAAUGUAUAUUCAAUCAAGAUUUUUAAAUAGUUUAUUAAAAUCUUUAAAAAAUCUGGGUUUAUUCUAUUAAAAUUUUAAAGAAGUUUAUAACAUUUCAGGUGUAUUCAAUUAGAAUUUGAUUUUAAAGAAUUUGAAAAAGUUGAGGAAUUUGAGAGAAUUUGAGAGAUUUUGUAGUGUAAUUUAAGCAUCCACAAAUCUCACAUCUUCCCAUGAGAUUUCGAGGGAAUUAAAUCAAAAUUUUACAUAUAAUCUCUACAAAUCAAUUAGAUUCCAUAAAAAUCCAUGGAUUUAUAAAUCCAUUGAAAUCUCUCAAAUUUCCAAUUGAAUACAACCAAUGUGUAUUCAAUUAAGAUUUUAAGAUAGUUUAUUAAAAUUCUUAGAAAUCUAGGUGUAUUCAAUUAAGAUUUUAUAGAAGUUUAUAACAUUUCUAUGUGUAUUUAAUUAGAAUUUUAUUUAAAAAAAAUUGAAAAUGUUGAGGAAUUAGAGAGAUUUCAGUGUAUUUUAAGCAUCCACAAGUCUUACAUCUCCGAUAAGAUUUCGGGAGAAUUGAAUCAAAAUUUUACAUGACAUCUCUACAAAUCAAUUAAACUCUAUAAAAAUCCACGAAUUUAUAAAUUCAUUUAAAUAUUUUAAAUUCUCAAUUGAAUACACCCCUCUAAGUUUUAGCACUUAACACGUGUUGGAUAAUCAGGCAAUCUACAAGGCUCAGAUUGUGGAAAUGGUGGUGGGAUGGCCCAUAAAUGCUCACAAUAGUCAUUGAAACUGGUAUAAUCCUCAUUUUGGUUUCUGACAUUGAAAAUCGAUGAAAAUGAUUUCUAGGUUUGUCUAUCGUUAAUCACUUUGGUCUUUCCACGAAAAUUCUUUACCAAAUGCAAAAGUAAGUGAAAGAGUUGAUUGGACAAAAAUAAUCACAAUUUAACAGAUUUUUCACGAAUGACCAAAAUAAUUUACGGUGAACAAACUCAGAACAAUUUUUAUCGAUUUUCAAUGCCAGAACCAAAGUGAAAUAUUAUGUCAACUCAGAGACUAUUUUAACUAAAAAACCUUGAUUAUUUUUAGCUUCUAAAUUUAAAAAUUAAAAAUAAUCGCAUGUAUAUAAAAUAUAGGACAAGAAUCACUUAUUUUCGUAUCUCAACAGGGUUGAGUCAAAAGAGAAAUUCUUCUCAGUCUGGACUACCGAACCACUAAGCCCAUCGAACCACAUAUUAUAUAGCAUUAUACAACUCUGCCCAAGAACAUUCCAUGAGAGAGAGAGAGAGAGAGAGAGAGAGAGAGAGAGAGAGAACAAUAUCAUUUUCGUUCUUUAAGAUAGAGAACUAAUAUAUAUAUAUAUAUAUAUAUAUAUAUAUUAUAUACGUGUAUUCAGUCAACAUGUCCACUACUGGAAGACUAUUUACAUCGGUCUCUCUUUCCCUCUCAGCAGACUAAUAUGAAACAUCUCGAGUGAGAAAAAUAGAGCGCACACAAAUAAUAGCAGACCGACGGAAACCACCGCGGAUCAAACGAUCUCUCCUUCCUCCCCAUCCCCGUACAGCGUUGAUUCAUCGUUGUCGUCGUCGUCGUCUCCUGAAUAUUCGGGCUUUAGAAAUAAACCUAGCUGCUCCAAAGGUGAUUGGGGAUGUGACCCCCCGAAAGCCCCAGACCCACGAUUAAAGUUGAGAAUAGGAGCGGAUACGGAGAACCCAGCAAACCUUCCAAGUUCCUCUAGGAUCUUCAAGCUUGUCUCGAUCUCAACUGUUUGCCUCAUCUGGAUAAGGGAUUAUAUUAAAGUCAGACCACAAAGGCGAAAAACGAGACAACAUUCAUGCAAGAACCCGUAAAAACUUUAAACCAAAGGUAAACCUUCUCAAGUGCAAUUCGAGCUUCUUCUCUUUUUCUUUCCCGUUGCUGCUUCAACUCAUUCUCAGCCCUCAUUCGUGUGGCAGCUUCAGCAGCUCUUAUUUCUGCUUCGAUCCUUGCUUUCUCUGUAAUUAAGGUAAGCUUAAGACCAUCAAUUAUAGGCAGGUGGCAACAGGAUUAACAAGGAGAUCUUUGUCUGUGACUGAUGCACUGUAGUAUCUUAUGGAAUUAACAAUAACACUAAUUGAGAUAUUAAAUGUUUUCCACAGACAGGCUUAGGAGUAGGUGAAAGAAAGCAAUCAAUGCAAAAGGCUAAAGUCAGGGGGGUUGUAAACAAACAUAUCGAAAGCGAGCACUUUCUCGUUGCAAGUCACAAGAAAGGAAAAAAUACCAUCAGGCUAACAUAACAUGGUAUAACCAUUGGCUGCAGUUGCAUAAAAUAAAGAAUCUCCCAACCCAAAAUGAUGAAAUAAACCAUAGGAAGAAACAAAAGUAGCAUCGCUAGAAAAUCAAAACUAGAUUAUUUUCGGCAAAAAACAAGUUAUUUACCUUCACGCUGCUUCCUCUCCAGUCUAGCCCUUUCUUGCUGCAUCUUAAGCGGAUCACUUCUAUCACCCUGGAUAUAAGGAGGAAACGCUGGAUAAGCAAACCCAAAUGCUAAAAGCUAUCAAAUAAUCAUGUGAAAAUGUUCUAACACAGUAUCCAACAUGCUUUACAUGAUCUUGCUAAAAGUAAAAACUGAAGCUUACAUGAUCUAGAAGUUUCUGCUGUUGAGCUUUCCAAAUAGUGUCUGCAAAGCGACUCUUUAGCAUUGCAGCACGAAGAGCCCUUUUUGGGGACAGUUCAACAUCAAAAAGAGAAGUGCUCCAUCCUGAAAGAAAUGAGUACGACCACCCAAUUAGUAAGUCCAAAUAUGGCAAGCUAAAUAACCAGCGGUCAUACUUAAGUUUGGCAUUGCUAGUGAAGAUACUGACCUUCUCCAGAAGCAGCAUCCACUACUGGAGUUGUAAGCCUAGAACUGGAACAUAUGUUUUCACCAUCCAAAGCACUUACAGCCCCUUCAUAUAAUUUGCAACAUCAUAACAUCAUUCUGGAUCAGAUCACUAAAAAUAACUAAGUGGCUAAAUAUCUUAAUAUGCUGCGUCAUCUCACCAUCAGAUUCUGGAUCUGAUUUGAUCGUCUGGGAUGUUGACAAGCUUUUUGUUUGACAAUCCUAUAAUGGAAUAAAAGCUCCAAUUAGCGCUAAGAAACAUAAAAGUCCUCAUGAGAAAUGUCAACAGCAACAGAAGCAUCAUCAUACAUACCAGUCUGGGUACAGUAGAAUUAGACAAACCAUGCUCUCUGCCCAUUGACCUUUCAGAAGAUUUGUCUGAACCAGAAGAGAGAGAAAUAAAUCCAUUGUUCAACCAUAUACUAUAUAACAAGAAAGUUGCAGCAAAUGAAAAAAUAAUCUAACCAUUAAAGGACUUAUGGGUCGAGUCACUAGGACGCCUGCAUUGACAUGCAACGUUGCCACAUGAGCCACAUUUUAAGCAAACCAGGCUUGAUGGCUGCUUUGCAUUAAUAGAGCCUGAAGCUUGUUUACAGGCACUAUCGGUGCUUCUAUUUAAGUUCUUUGAUGACAAUUUGGGAUUAGAAUUCUGAGCUGUUUUAGAAAGCUCUGCCUAUCAACAAAAUAUACAUACAUUACUCAGGUAGAAAAGGAAAAUGCUCUUCAACAGCGUCAGCUUUUUAAAUAAUAGAACAAACGAGUAUACAGCAUUCAAGCCACCAUCUAUUAGCUGACAGGCUUAAAAUUCCAAAUUUUAUUUGUUUUUGAAGCAAUCCAGUACGCAUUAUUGUAAACAUAAAAAAUCACAAUUUCAUGGCUAUCACUUACCUCAGCAUCAGUUGCACCAACAGGGACUCUGACCUUCUCUUCACCUGAAAUAGGCCUCUUGCUCACCGAACUAUUUUGCAAGGGAGGAGAGUUGCAUGGAUUCUGUCUAGCACAAGUUACUUUCUUAAUUUGCCCAUUCGAUGGAUUCCCUGAUUCAACCUUGGAGCUUCCAUGACUCAACUUCUCAUCUAAAAGACCCCAUCUCAUCUCAAAAAAACUAUUCAGGUUUUCUGCCAGAUGAUGAAAAGGAUUGCCAGGAGGAUUAUAGAGCAUGGCAUUAGAAAAAGUCAGCCUGACAUCAGCUGCAAACUCUUCAGCGCUUAAGUACAAAUCUUUCUGCAGCUUUGAUUUUACCGUGCCCAAAUCCAUGGGAUAAGAGAUGAUGCGAAAGUAAUCUGGGAUUCCCAGCUUCACAGGAUCAACUGGUUCAUUGAAAGGCCAGCUUUCCUUUUUACUCAUCAGUGUUUUGAGGAUCGUCAAACAUUGCACCUUCACACUACGAUCAAUCUUCCUCUUCUUCUCUUUCUGACCCUCAAGAUCGCCUGAGGAUCCACGCUUCUUAGAACCUGGAAGUGAAGAUUUCGCCAUUGCGCUGACCUCCCUGAUUGAGGCAUGAUGCCCAUAGUCACACGAGUGACUCCUAGAGUAAUUAGUAUCAGCUUCAAAUUUUUUUCCAGGAUCAGCUUCAAUUCUUUUGCAGGCAAAUUUAAUCUUCAGCUUGUUGCUCGACAGCAUGGUUUUCGUGGCAAUCAUCGUAAGGAACUACGUGAACUCUCAAGAAAACCCAAACUUCAAGUUCUUAGACAAAUUUGUAUGGCCUCCUAAUACGCAAUAACGCUAAGAAUACCAGUUCCCUCUCACAAUAAAGGCAUGAAAAUCGCCGCUCUCUGCAGAAAAUAAGCGACGAAUAUUUUAAUAAUGUACAACAAGUGCACUACUUAACAGUUAAUAAGUAUACAGUAAAAGUUUAAAGAAAACAGGAACACUUGGUAUUUAGAUAAACCCCUCCACCUUUUUCCAUAAACUUUCAAUUGAAGUCCUCAAACUUAUGGAAUUCACUAACUAUAAUCAAGGGUCGUACCCAAAUUACUAAAUAAAAGUAAUUUACAGAACUUCUACACAAAUUAACCAGGCAUCAAACCCAAUUCAAAUCUGUUGACUUCCGAACUAUCUGAGUACGAAAAAUCACGCUGUUGACAUAAUAACGAAAUUUGACCCCAAAUACAACGUAAUUACUAAAACCCCAAAAACAUAAAACGCCAAAAAACCACAUACAAAAUCAUCACACCGACGGAAAAAUAAAAACCCAGAAACUAAAAGUAACAAGGAAGAAAAUCCAGAUCAAAACAACGACUAAAAACGCCAAAAAAACAAAUUGGGAAAUCAGAGGUCAAGGAUCGAAGGAGAACUCACCUGAAUCGAAUCGAAUCGAAACGAAAGUAGAGAGCAAAACAACCGGGAGAUCGUGCGUCGCGGCGAGAGCGAGAGGGCCGAAUAGCCCCCUCGCGGAUAUGGGGAUAGGAUGCAGGACUAGGGUUUUACAGUGAGAGGAGGCGUGGGAAGAAGAAGGGAGGGAGGGAGAGAGUGAGGGGUUAGGGCGAUCUCCCAAUACAGCGAGGAUUUAUAUUUAUAUUUUUUAAAUUUUAAAUACUCGCCGACUUUGAUUGGAUGGGAAUCAUGGGAUCUUUCUGCGCGAUAUUAAUUAGAUUUCGCCUUUCCCUUUUGUGAAUUUACCGUUUUGCCCUUUGACUUCCCUUGUUUCUGUUGGAAUCAAAGUUUCAUUUCUUCUCUUGGAUUGGGAAUUUGCAAUAUAAUUAUAUAUGUUAUUUGUUGUUCAUAUUUCCUUGUUAAAUUUAGGGAUCUGCUAUUCACAUACUCUAUUUUACUUUUUACACACCCCUUGUUAAUUUCUAUCCGUUGAUUUUCUUCAAUUCAUCCGAUCCGACGGUCGAAAACUAGAAGGGUGUGUGAAAAGUAAAAUAGAGUGUGAAUAUCACAUCCCUAAAUUUUAUUAGCAUUCAAUUAAAAAAAUUAAGAAAAAAACACUUAUCACAUAUUGUAUCAUCUCUUUAACAGAGGUAAAACCGACCAACAUAUGUGGGUCGGGAGUAUUUUUGUUCACCACCAUAAAUUAUAGUGUAUUGUCAUCAUACAUCUAAUCAUUCGUCAUGUGUCACGUCAUUUAGGUUUUGUUAACUUUUUUUUUCAAAAUUGAAAAAAUAAUAUUUAGUGUGAAAGUUAAUUUGAAUUAUGUGAACAGACACGUAAAUGAUUAGAUGUAUGAUAAGCAUACAUCAUAGUUUGUAAUGAAGAGCAGAAAUGCUCCAGACCAUGUAUAUUAGCCUUAGUUUGGAAGUGAGGUGCUUAAAAAAAAAGCACCCAUGAAAAAAAGCUGUGAGGAUUUUAGGUGUUUGGUAAACUGAAAAAAAGGGCUUGUUUUGGAAGCUGCUGUGAGAAUAAGCUGAAAUCAAAGGAAAAAGCUGAAGCUGCUAUUUGCAGCUUUGGAAAACUGGUUUUUUUUUAAAGCACAUCGAGCUACAAUGCUCCUUUAAUGAAAAGACCUACUAUCAGACUGCAUUUUUUUCCAAAAGCACUUUUACAAAAAAGUUUACCAAACACUCUGCUGCUUUAUUUCACAGCAGCUUAUUCUCACAGCACAGCCGCUUAUUCUCGCAGCAACUUUUUUUCAAAGCACAUCAAUACCAAACCAGCCCUUAGUCGGGAAAACAAGAAGGUAGCCGAACUCAAAAACCCUCCCUUUGCAUUGGUUGCUUUUCUCGUUGAUAAAAAACAAAUAGUAAAGGUUAACAACUCUCAAGCUCAAGACCCCACUAUCCCACCACAUAAACCCUUCAAAACAAAUAUUGGCUUACAUCACACUAGGGAGUACACUGUUGAGUUCCAAUCAAUUUACAACGACGCCAAAUGUUUUUAAGUUUCUCUAAAUGACGUCACAUGAUUGAUUUGGAACACAACCAUCCAUGUAAGCCCGUAACAUCAAUAAAAUCUCAAAUUCCGAACCAGAAAACCUUCACUGUUAACAAAUUAAAUUAAAACGGAAGAGCAACUUCUACAUGAAUGCAAAUUGAAACAUAAACAGUAGGAAUCAAGGCGAAGGCUGCAUUGGUACUCUAAUCUCAAUCUCAACUGAUAGUUAAAAUUAGUGUCACAAACGCAUCGACGUUUAACGUAAAACUAACAAAAACUUGAAACAAUUCAUCCAUAUUUGCUUUGAAGCUUCAACAACAUUCGUAACAUAACAGUACAGCCAAAACAAUGCAUUCAAAACAGCGAUGUUCCCUUCCCCUUCUUGUCUCCACCGAUUUCAAAGUGCUUGCACCUCUGCAGAAAAAACGCAUCGAAGUUUAGCGUAACGCGUUAGAUAUUAUCGAUAAUCUAAGGUAGACACCAAAUGGAGCAAAUUGCACCAUAUCACUAACCUUGAUCGGGUGCUGGGAUACAUGCUUGCAACCCUGGCAUUGGAGCCUCAGCACAAUCUUCUUAGUAGUCUUUGCCUGUUUAUCAACGUCAAAGUUAACGAUGCAACAAAUUUGAAAUCAAACAACCACAAGGGAUGAAUUAGGCUGUUGUAUACCUUCUUGUGGAAGACUGGUUUUGUCUGCCCACCAUAACCAGACUGCUUGCGAUCGUAACGACGCUUUCCCUGAGCAGCAAGACUAUCCUUGCCCUUCUUGUAUUGUGUGACCUUGUGCAAGGUGUGCUUCUUGCACUCCUUGCUCUUGCAGUAGGUCUUCUUUGUCUUGGGAACGUUCACCUGAAAAAUUACAACAUGGGUUAAAACGGAUUAUGAAAUCUGAUCAAAACCCAGAUACAGUAAGUUUCAAACAAAUCAAGCAGAAAAAUAUGUAAUCUUUAAACUUCUAAAAGAAAUCGAACAGAACAUCAGAAUAGAAAACGAUUUAAAAUCUGAUUAAAACCCGGUUCUAGUGAGGUUUCAAACAAAUCAAACAGCAAAGCAAAAUUGAAAACGAAUCAGCAAUCAGAUGAAAACCCAGGUGCAGUAACAAACAGGAGAAAUGAAUUACUAACCAAACGGAUUAAUGCAAUCUGACAUAGAAGUAUGAAGCAUAAGAACAAAAUUGCAAAACAACAGCAAAGCCCUAAACUAUCAACGAAAUCAGAUUAAACCCAUAAACUUCAACCCAAAUAUAAAUUGUUUAAUCUUAUAUUUAAGCUGAAACAUAACACGAAAUUGCUACAGUCCCUUCGAACCAAAUUCACGAUUAAAUUUAUCAGUAAUUAUUGCAUAAACAGAUCCACAACAAAAACCAAGAGAACCAAGUUGCACGUAAUACUGUGGAAGAGAAGAAGAAGAAGAAGAAGAGAGAGAGAGAGAGAGAGAGAGAGAUACCAUGGUGGAUUUGCCGCGGCGUCGAUACAGAAAUGAGCAGCUGAAGCUUGUAACAAGAACCCUAGAGGGCAUCGGAGCGGUAUGCGUUGGGUUUUAUACUUUGAUGGGAUGGGCUUUUGUUCGGCUACAAGUGUUCUUAUUUUGGAAACGGGCUGGGCUGCCUUCAGUGUUUUAUCAAAGUUGGGCUUUUGCAAAACCUGAACCCUAAACCUUUCUAUUCCAUAGGUUCGGAUAAAUUUUUAGUUAUAUUUGGAAAUGUGUUAUCCACAUAUCUCUUUUUACUUCUCACAUAUUUUUUUAAUUUUUGACUGUCGGAUCAGCUGAAUCGAAGAAGAUCAACAACAACAACAACAACAACAACAAAGCCUUUUCCCACUAAGUGGGGUCGGCUAUAUGAAUCCUAGAACGCCAUUGCGCUCGGUUUUGUGUCAUGUCCUCCGUUAGAUCCAAGUACUCUAAGUCUUUUCUUAGAGUCUCUUCCAAAGUUGUCCUAGGUCUUCCUCUACCCCUUCGGCCCUGAACCUCUGUCCCGUAGUCACAUCUUCGAACCGGAGCGUCAGUCGGCCUUCUUUGCACAUGUUCAAAAUCACCGGAGCCGAUUUUCUCUCAUCUUUCCUACAAUUUCGGCUACUCUUACUUUAUCUCGGAUAUCCUCAUUCCCAAUCUUAUCCUUUCUCGUGUGCCCACACAUUCCACGAAGCAUCCUCAUCUCCGCUACACCCAUUUUGUGUACGUGUUGAUGCUUCACCACCCAACAUUCUGUGCCAUACAACAUCGCUAGCCUUAUUGCCAUCCUAUAAAAUUUUCCCUUGAGCUUCAAUGGCCUACGACGGUCACACAACACGCCGGAUGCACUCUUUCCAUCCAGCUCGUAUUCUAUGGUUGAGAUCUCCAUCUAAUUCUCCGUUCUCUUGCAAGAUAGAUCCUAGGUAGCGAAAACGAUCGCUUUUUGUGAUCUUCGCUAGAUUGCUCCGGUCAUUAGUGUGGAUAAGUAUAUAAAUGGAUAGAGAUAGGAAAGCAAACACAAGAUGUACGUGGUUCACCCAGAUUGGCUACGUCCACGGAAUAGAAGAGUUCUCAUUAAUUGUGAAGGGUUUACACAAGUACAUAGGUUCAAGCUCUCAUUUAGUGAGUACAAGUGAAUGAUUUAGUACAAAUGACAUUAGGAAAUAUUGUGGGAGAAUGAUCUCGUAAUCACGAAACUUCUAAGUAUCGGAGUGUGGUGUCGUCUUUGACUUGCCUUAUCUGUCUCAUAGGUAGAUGUGGCAUCUUCUCUGGAAGUACUCUUCCUCCAUCCAGGGGUGGUAUCUUUAACUGGUGGAGAUGCACAAGGUAAUGUAUCAAUUUCACUUGAAGCUUACUUGUAGUUUCAGGCUUGGUCAAGCGCGAUACAAACCAUGUAGUAGGAGUCCCCCAAGUCGCCGAGCUAGGGGGUCUGCUGAAAGAGGUGACAGACAAGGUAAGCAAUCAGAGCUCCGACUGAUUGUUCACCUUCUCCCCAUCUUGCAGCAGCAUGAAGGAUAAAGAGAAGAAAAAUGAGAAGAGAUGAUAUGAGAUACUUUUGCUUUUGAAGAAGUAACUUUCCACAGGCUUAUUCUUGAACUGAGCUGGAGGGUUUUCUGGUUUCCUCCAGAGUAUAAGGCCGACUGAAGAAUUUGAGGGUCAAAACAAGUCCAUCAAAUCUAGAGUACGUUCCACCCUGCUGAUAUGGGAUACUUUUGCUUUUGACAGAGUAAUGAAUGUAUCGGCACGUGUGCUGUUACGCUUGUCUCCACAUGCUUCCUUGUAUCCUUCGCACUUGCCCUAUCUGUUCCUCAAGCAGAUGCGGAAUCUUCCCUGGAAACAUAAGAUGUUGAAGAUGAGUACUCGAGAGCAAUGCCAGGUAAGUAAUCAGGUAAGGGGUUCCAGGCAGUCAGUUCCUGGCUGGAAGCUUGAUUCCAAGUGCUGACUGAUUGCUCUCUUUCUCCUUGUCUUGCAGGUAAAAACAAGGCCAAAAGAAAAGACAGGGAAAAAGCAUGAUAUGGGAUACUCUUGCUUUUAACCCUGAUGAUAUGAGAUAUUCUUGCUCUAGUAUAGCUUGUUUGCAGAGGUAUUAUCGGGGGGAAAGAAAGCUGAAUAUUUCGAAAGGCUUCGUUGGGAGUGCCCUCUCAGAUAUGAUGAAGGGUUGAGCAUUUUUGCAGGUCUGCCUGUCCGUUGGGGAUGGAGGUCGACAUAUAUAGGAGUCUCCCUAACAACAAGUAGUAAUGCUAUUCCUUUACCCUGCUUGGUCAUAGCACGGUAGUGGGAGCUGCCAGUUUCACAUGUUUUAACUCUGUCAGAGCACUUUGAAAAAGUGGUCUGUGGUAUCUGGCUCUCGAGAUUCGGAGAACGAUGCCUCUUCGAUUUUUGAGAAAGCAAUCAUGCUGGGGGUAUGACUCUCGAGAUUCGGAGAGCAGUGUCUCUUCGAUUUUUGAGGAAGUAAUCAUGUUGGGAGUCUGGCUCUCGAGAUUCGGAGGGCGGUGCCUCUUCGAUUUUGGAGCAAGCAAUCUUGUUGGAAGUGUUGUCUCGAAUGUGAGUAAAGGUUGAGCAUGUUUGCUAGUCUACCUUGCCACGAAGCACAAAGGUUGACACACAGGGACUUUCCAAUUAUCCAGCAAUGGUACUGUUCCUUUACCCUCUCUUCGAUUUUGAGAAAGUAGUCAUGUUGGGAGUCUGGCUCUCGAGAUUCGGAGGACGGUGCCUCUUCGAUUUUGGAGCAAGCAAUCUUAUUGGGAGUGUUUUCUCGAAUGUGAGUAAAGGUUGGGCAUGUUUGCUAGUCUACCUUGCCACGAAGCACAGAGGUUGACCUUCAAAAUUUAUGUGUCUAAACUUUUGUUAGUGCUGUUUCUUUGCUAUUCUUUUACCUUUCUUGGUCAGAGCGAUGUAGUGGGAGCUGCAAGCUUCACGUGCUCAACUUUGGCAGAGAACUUUGGCAAAGUUAUUUGUGGUACCCAUGAGCUAUUGUUGCGUGUGGGAAGUGGGUGAUUGAACAGUAAGAUUCAUGUGCUUUCUACUUCACCAGAAGUCUUCGACAGAAUGCCCAUAAUUUCUGCAAAGCUGAGUGUGCAUGUGACAGGUGCUGACAAGGCUAGAAAAGUAGGUGCCUCUUCGAUUUCUGAGAUCGGCCCUCGUGGUCUCUGAGCAGCCCAGCUUUUGAGAAAGCGAGCGCCUCUUCGAUUGAUUCGGAGAACGAUGCCUCAUCGAUUUUUGAGAAAGCAAUCAUGCUGGGGGUCUGGCUCUCGAGAUUCGGGGAGCAGUGUCUCUUCGAUUUUUGAGAAAGUAAUCAUGUUGGGAGUCUGGCUCUCGAGAUUCGGAGGGCGGUGCCUCUUCGAUUUUGGAGCAAGCAAUCUUGUUGGGAGUGUUUUCUCGAAUGUGAGUAAAAGGUUGGGCAUGUUUGCUAGUCUACCUUGCCACGAAGCACAGAGGUUGACACACAGGGACUUUCCAAUUAUCCAGCAAUGGUACUGUUCCUUUACCCUCUCUUCGAUUUUUAAGAAAGUAGUCAUGUUGGGAGUCUGGCUCUCGAGAUUCGGAGGACGGUGCCUCUUCGAUUUUGGAGCAAGCAAUCUUAUUGGGAGUGUUUUCUCGAAUGUGAGUAAAGGGUUGGGCAUGUUUGCUAGUCUACCUUGCCACGAAGCACAGAGGUUGACACACAGGGACUUUCCAAUUAUCCAGCAGUGGUACUGUUCCUUUACCCUUGUGGGUAAUAAUAUGGUAGCUAGACCUUCAAAAUUUAUGGGUCUAAACUUUGUUAGUAGUGUUUCUUUGCUAUUCUUUUACCCUUCUUGGUCAGAGCGAUGUAGUGGGAGCUGCAAGCUUCACGUGCUCAACUUUGGCAGAGAACUUUGGCAAAGUUAUCUGUGGUACCCAUGAGCUAUUGUUGCGUGUGGGAAGUGGGUGAUUGAACAGUAAGAUUCAUGUGUUUUCUACUUCCCCAGAAGUCUUUGACAGAAUGCCCAUAAUUUCCGCAAAGCUGAGUGUGCGUGUGACAGGUGCUGACAAGGCUGGAAAAGGCUGGAAAAGUAGGUGCCUCUUCGAUUUCUGAGAUCGGCCCUCGUGGUCUCUGGGGAGCCCAGCUUUUGAGAAAGCGAGCGCCUCUUCGAUUUUUGAGAUCGGCCUUCGUGGUCUUUGAGCAGCCCAACUUUUGAGAAAGCAAACGCCUCUUCGAUUUCUGAGAUCAACCCUCGUGAUCUCUAAGCAGCCCAGCUUUUGAGAAAGCAAACGCCUCUUCGAUUUCUGAGCAGGCGCCUCUUCGAUUUCUGAAGCUUCGUCGAGUGCAGAUUUUUAUAGGGGCUGGCAUUAAGUUCCAAAGCACACUUGAAUCUCCACCAGUAGAAGCUUCAUUCUUGCACUUCUAAGAUCUUGAUUUGUCCGACCUCUUCUCUCUUCAACACCUUUGAAAAUGUCUGGCCCCUCCGACCGUCGUUUUGACUUGAACCUUGUUGAAGAGGCAGCCCCGCCUUCUCCAGACAACAUAUGGCGCCCAUCCUUCGUCUCCCCUACUGGUCCUCUUACCGUUGGGGAUUCCGUGAUGAAGAAUGAUAUGACCGCUGCGGUGGUGGCCAGGAACCUUCUCACUCCCAAAGAUAACAGACUACUUUCCAAACGGUCUGAUGAGUUAGCUGUUAAGGAUUCGCUGGCUCUCAGUGUUCAGUGUGCAGGUUCUGUGUCUAAUAUGGCCCAACGCCUAUUUGCUCGAACCCGCCAAGUUGAAUCAUUGGCGGCUGAAGUGAUGAGUCUCAAACAGGAGAUUAGAGGGCUCAAGCAUGAGAAUAAACAGUUGCACCGGCUCGCACAUGACUAUGCUACAAACAUGAAGAGGAAGCUUGACCAGAUGAAGGAAACUGAUGGUCAGGUUUUACUUGAUCAUCAGAGAUUUGUGGGUUUGUUCCAAAGGCAUUUAUUGCCUUCGUCUUCUGGGGCUGUACCGCGUAAUGAAGCUCCAAAUGAUCAACCUCUGAUGCCUCCUCCUUCUAGGGUUCUGUCCAGUACUGAGGCUCCAAAUGAUCCCCCUCCGGUGCCUUCUCUUUCUGGGGCUCUACCGACUGCUGAGACUUCUCCUAAGCAACCUUUGUGAAGGCUCCCUCUUGUGUGCUUAUUUUGACUCAUGUAUAUGUACAUAUUUGUAGCUUAUCGGGGAUAUCAAUAAAUAAGUUUUCCUUCAUUUCAACGUAUUGUGUUAAAUACACCAAAGCCUUCUUCGCUAAGUUCUUUGAAUUUUCUUUUGUUAAAGCUUGUAUGUUGAAGCUUUCUGAGUGGAGCAUGUAGGUUGGGGUAGUGUUCCCUUAAUUUCCCGAGUGAGGAAAACUUCUCGGUUGGAGACUUGGAAAAUCCAAGUCACUGAGUGGGAUCGGCUAUAUGAAUCUUUAGAACGCCAUUGUGCUCGAUCCUGUGUCAUGUCCUUCGUUAGAUCCAAGUACUCUAAGUCUUUUCUUAGAGUCUCUUCCAAAGUUUUCCUAGGUCUUCCUCUACCCCUUCGGCCCUGAACCUCUGUCCCAUAGUCGCAUCUUCUAAUCGGAACGUCAGUAGGCCUUCUUUGCACAUGUCCAAACCACCGUAACCGAUUUUCUCUCAUCUUUCCUUCAAUUUCGGCUACUCCUACUUUACCCCGGAUAUCCUCAUUCCUAAUCUUAUCCUUUCUCGUGUGCCCACACAUCCAACGAAGCAUCCUCAUCUCCGCUACACCCAUUUUGUGUACGUGUUGAUGUUUCACCGCCCAACAUUCUGUGCCAUACAGCAUCGCCGGCCUUAUUGCCGUCCUAUAAAAUUUUCCCUUGAGCUUCAGUGGCAUACGGCGGUCACACAACACGCCGGAUGCACUCUUCCACUUCAUCCAUCCAGCUUGUAUUCUAUGGUUGAGAUCUCCAUCUAAUUCUCCGUUCUUUUGCAAGAUAGAUCCUAGGUAACGAAAACGGUCGCUCUUUGGUAUUUCUUGAUCUCCGAUCCUCACCCCUAACUCGUUUUGGCCUCCAUUUGCACUGAACUUGCACUCCAUAUAUUCUGUCUUUGAUCGGCUUAGGCGAAGACCUUUAGAUUCCAACACUUCUCUCCAAAGGUUAAGCUUUGCAUUUACCCCUUCCUGAGUUUCAUCUAUCAACACUAUAUCGUCUGCGAAAAGCAUACACCAAGGAAUAUCAUCUUGAAUAUGUCGUGUUAACUCAUCCAUUACCAACGCAAAAAGGUAAGGACUUAAGGAUGAGCCUUGAUGUAAUCCUACAGUUAUGGGAAAGCUUUCGGUUUGUCCUUCAUGAGUUCUUACGGCAGUCUUUGCUCCUUCAUACAUAUCCUUUAUAGCUUGGAUAUAUGCUACUCGUACUCCUUUCUUCUCUAAAAUCCUCCAAAGAAUGUCUCUUGGGACCCUAUCAUACGCUUUUUCCAAAUCUAUAAAGACCAUGUGUAAAUCCUUUUUCCCAUCUCUAUAUCUUUCCAUCAGUCUUCGUAAGAGAUAGAUUGCCUCCAUGGUUGAGCGCCCUGGCAUGAACCCGAAUUGGUUGUCCGAAACCCGUGUCUCUUGCCUUAAUCUAUGCUCAAUGACUCUCUCCCAGAGCUUCAUUGUAUGACUCAUUAGCUUAAUACCCCUAUAGUUCAUGCAAUUUUGUACGUCGCCCUUAUUCUUGUAGAUAGGCACCAAAGUGCUCGUUCGCCACUCAUUUGGCAUCUUCUUCGUUUUCAAAAUCCUAUUGAAAAGGUCAGUGAGCCAUGUUAUACCUGUCUCUCCCAAAAGUUUCCACACUUCGAUUGGUAUAUCGUCUGGGCCUAUUGCUUUUUUAUGCUUUCAUCUUCUUCAAAGCUACAACCACUUCUUCCUUCCGGAUUCGACGAUAAAAAGAGUAGUUUCUACACUCUUCUGAGUUACUCAACUCCCCUAAAGAAGCACUCAUUUCAUGUCCUUCAUUGAAAAGAUUAUGAAAAUAACCUCUCCAUCUGUCUUUAACCGCGUUCUCUGUAGCAAGAACCUUUCCAUCCUCAUCCUUGAUGCACCUCACUUGGUUUAGGUCCCUUGUCUUCUUUUCCCUUGCUCUAGAUAGUUUAUAGAUAUCCAACUCUCCUUCUUUGGUAUCUAGUCGUUUAUACAUAUCGUCGUAAGCCGCUAACUUAGCUUCUCUGACAGCUUUCUUCGCCUCUUGCUUCGCUUUUUCUAUACCUUUCACCAUUUUCAUCAGUCCUCUCCUUGUAUAAGGCUUUACAACAUUCCUUCUUAGCCUUCACCUUUGUUUGUACCUCCUCAUUCCACCACCAAGAUUCCUUUUGGUGUGGGGCAAAGCCCUUGGACUCUCCUAAUACCUCUUUUGCUACUUUUCGGAUACAACUAGCCAUGGAAUCCCACAUUUGGCUAGCUUCCCCCUCUCUAUCCCACACACAUUGGGUGAUUACCUUCUCUUUGAAAAUGGCUUGUUUUUCUUCUUUUAGAUUCCACCAUCUAGUCCUUGGGCACUUCCAAGUCUUGUUCUUUUGUCUUACUCUUUUGAUAUGUACAUCCAUCACCACAACAAGCGAUGUUGAUUAGUCACGCUCUCUCCUGGUAUAACUUUGCAAUCCUUACAAGUUAUACGAUCCCCUUUCCUCAUUAGAAGAAAAUCUAUUUGUGUUUUUGACGACCCACUCUUGUAGGUGAUCACAUGUUCUUCUCUCUUCUUAAAGAAGGUGUUGGCUAAGAAGAGAUCAUAUGCCAUUGCAAAAUCCAAGAUAGCUUCCCCAUCCUCGUUUCUCUCCCCAAAACCAUGGCCACCAUGAAAACCUCCAUAGUUGCCUGUCUCCCUGCCCACGUGUCCAUUUAAAUCUCCUCCUAUAAAUAACUUCUCCGUCUGAGCAAUUCCUUGCACCAAGUCUCCAAGAUCUUCCCAAAAUUUUCUCCUUCGAACUCGUAUCCAACCCUACUUGAGGUGCGUACGCACUAAUCACAUUGAUAAGUUCUUGUCCUAUUACAAUCUUGAUUGCCAUGAUUCUAUCUCCUACCCUCUUGACAUCUACAACAUCUUGUACCAAGGUCUUGUCCACGAUGAUGCCAACACCGUUUCUCGUUCUAUUUGUGCCCGAAUACCAAAGUUUAAACCCUGAGUUUUCUAGAUCCUUUGCCUUACUACCAACCCACUUAGUUUCUUGUAGGCACAUAAUAUUUAUCCUUCUCCUCACCAUAACUUCCACUACUUCCAUAGAUUUUCCCGUUAAGGUUCCUAUAUUCCACGUUCCUAAACGCAUUUUGCUCUCUUGAACUCUACCCUUCUGUCCUAGCUUCUUCACCCUCCCCCGUCUAAUAGGAUCAAAGUACUUCUUUUGUGUGUCCCGGGUAAAGUUGAUAGGAGCAUAUGCUCCCAAACAACUUUGAGUGGAGUCGUUCGAAAAGAAGUUUCUAUGGCCCCCUUGCUCAUUUAACACUGCAUCCGGGUGCCGAUGGAGAUACAGCGACCCUUGCUCACUUAUCACUGUGCUCAGGCCACACAGCGCGCCACUUACGGGUGACGCCCUAGCUUUAGCGCGAUUUUGUUCUGGAUUCAUUUUCAUAAGGAUUCGACGUGAUCAUGGAGUGCCGGCUGUCGACUACCUGACGCCCUCCCCCUCCUCCUUUAUCCGGGCUUGGGACCGGCCAUGUAAGACAUAGGCGGAGUUGAAUCGAAGAAGAUCAAAUGACAGAAAUCAAUAAGGCACGUGUGAGGAGUAAAAAGAGGUGUGUGGAUGUCACACCCCUAUAUUUAUUGGUGUAUGAUUAAAAGGAACGUACAAUUUAGAGGCCUUAGCUUUUGUGUUGUUUUUUGUUACAUUGGAUGGAAUCGAACCCGAAGGUUUCGAGUUUGGUUACUUUCUUUAAUAGUUUUUUUUGUUGGUGGAGAAGAUGUUGUUGCUCCAAAAUGGUAGCAGGGUUUUCAGGAGAACGUACAUUUUCCAACACAUCCAAUAUUUGGCAAAGUAUGUGCAAGGAUAUGUUCGCGACUUCAAAGUACGUGCAGUGGUGGUCGGAUGAUUUGGAUCUUCAAACCACCUCCCCUGAGAUUAUCAACAGGCAGUUGACACCCCAUCACCUUAGUCUUCAAAGCCUGAGCAACGUUAUAAACAAAACUUUCUACAAAUUUGAGAUGCUAUUUUGUUUAUUUUAAUUAUGAGUUUGCUAGUAAACGACUCAGAAGAUCGUUACAUUUCGUGUUGAUCUUGUAAUGUUUAGUAGUUAAAAGAUACUAAUUAAAGAGAAAUUUUCCAAGUAAAGAAUGGUUGGAACAUUACCUUUUUCUAUAUACUUAGUUUCCACCCCGUAAAACUCAUACAAAAUCUGAUACACCGCUCUCUCACCGUAACACUUUUUAGAGUACUUCUCAUCGUAUUAAGGCCAAAGUGAGGAAUUAUACAAAUCUCAGAGACCAUUUUGGUUAAAAAAACCUAGAUAUAAUGAUAAAGACAAAAUCAAUGCCUUUUCGGCGAUCCUACACACCCCCGAAUGCAAUCUUUUCCUCUUGGCAGCUGAAAGAAACUUUCACUUCUCAAUGUAUUAAGGAUGCCAAUAUGUUCGUCAGGCGUAUGAAACUAUCAAUGGCUCUCUUGAGGCAUCUUCGGAUAUGUUGCUGUAGUAGGAGUACAGAGCUAACUGGACAAGCCCUAAAAUUGUUCCAAUACCGUUUGGGAUCUGCAUCCAAAAUGUAAUUUGAAGAGGAUCAACACAAGUUCCGAAACUCGGGUUUGGCAUGUUAACAUCUUGCUGCAGAAAACAGAACACUUACAUAGAGGAAAGGGUCCUCCUUGAGCACUCCAUAUGCAGAGAAAGAGAGACUCAUCAAAACGUCGCGAGAGAAAGAUUAAAUGGCAUGAACUCGACACUCCUUGUUUUGAUCACCAAUUUCUGAAAAAGGGUACACGCGAAACCAUACGUGUGAGGAUAAAUUGCGCUGUCCAAAACCUGUGAGCGAAAAAUUUAACACGCAAACUUACUAUGAUAAACAGCGGCGAAGCAAACAUUGAGAUGAGCGAAGCAACACUCAGGUAUCCGACGAACGUUUGCCUCUCAUCGUAGUCUAAAAGUCCCAAGGUCACAAAGACAACGAACGCAAACACAACAAUAACUGCCGCUAUCAAUCCCAUCAUCCUCAGCUGCAAAAAGAAAUUUCAAGAACGCAGUCAUGCAGUGUUUUAAUAGGCAUUGGCUGUCUACAUGAGCAGGUAGAUUUGGGGAAGAAUAUCACCUUGAUCGCUCUUUCGGCGUGCCUAAUGAAAAUGCUUAAGUAGACAAACUGGAAAACCGCCCCGAUUGAAUUGACUGUAGCCACCAGUAUAAUCCCAGUUUUCACAGCAGGCAUGCCAUACCAGGAGCAUAUCAAGCAGUUCAAAAGUGCAUAUAUGUAAGGCAAUCCAGAAAAUUGUUCUGUUGACUUAGUUUUGACAAUUCUCUUAAAUGUUGGUCUGGAAAACAAAACAUGGCUAUAUGAUCAGAAUCAAGAGCAAAAUAUCAUUAAUCUCCAUUUUUUCGUGAACUUUUUAAAUAACUUACAUUGGUGACACAAAUAACACAAAGGCAAAGAUAUUCCCUGCAAUUGACAAAGAUAUGUGUUAAAACUGGCAAUCUGAGAGUCUUUUUAUAGAUUCCAAAACUGCAUAGACAUAUAUUUCCAACUGAUUCUUAUGCAUCUUUUUGACAAGGCGGUAUUCUAAAUUAACUCUAUCUACAGAGAAGGGGAUUCAAACACGGGUAAAAGGGGUGAGCAUAUUGCCCUGGUUAGCCUAACCUCACAUGCAUCUUGAACAACAUAUGCUUUUCUUCAUAAAUCAACAUUCCAAAAACCUCCAAUCACCACAACAAUAUCUUAUAAAGUCACUCAACAGAAUUCAUGGUUUUGUUCCUUAAAAAAAAACAUAAAACUAUGAACUUACCCUUGCACCCGAGGUCCGAAGUUCAAUUCCCCCGCUUUUGAUAAAAAAAUGGAAGAAGCGUAAUGAAGCAGAUAUGGUGCUAAGAUAAAGAAGGGUACCUGCAAUGCCGGCUGCAGUACUCCAACCUAAAUAAACAGAAAACAGUCCAGUCGGCAACAUCGAUCUAUGUCAAUUAUCAAAACAACUGCUCAACAAAUGUAUGUAUUCAACUUUACUCACUGCUACUCCACACCAAACAGAAGCUCUCUCUCCCUCUCUCUUGUAACUUUGUAUAUUAAUGGUCCAAACGAGAAGGAUUUUUCUUAAUAUAUAUACUUGUUACAGAGGACCUCAGAUAAUUUACACCAUCUAUUAUUUACUACCAACUUUUUGAGACUUCUUUAACUUGCCACAGAAAGUUUUUGUUAAACCAAUGAUAUUAGAUUAUUUAAACUAUGGUAUUAUGAUGGGAAAUUGGGAACCGUGAGUACUCCAAGUUAGCCAAAUGCAACUAUAAUCCAUACAUUUAUAUAUUGAACAUACGAUGAGUUAUGCACAAUGAUUUUAUGACGGUUUUAACCACACAAUAGGGCUAUAUCAUUCAAGUUUAAACGUUGAACCCUUACAUCAUCGUAAUAAAACUGAAUAGAUAUGUGACACAGGCUGCCCAGGAAAAUGCGAGACCGCAUACGAUUUUGUGGCUUAGAUAGACUUCAAGUGGGUUCAUCCCUCACUUUCACUCAUCAAUUGGUUGAGAUUUUUAUAGAUUUUGGGCCAUGCAAAUUAUUUGGAACCUGUUAGUCACUUAUAUAUACGUUGUAUAUUGGUUAUUAUCACGUGAUAAAUAUAUAUAUAUAUAUAUAUAUAUUUUUUUUUUUAUUCACAUCUCAUCUUAGAAUACGCAGAAGGUUAUUUAGGAUCGUGCUAUCCACAAAUUCGUUUUUACUUUUCACACAUUCUCAAUUUUCAGUCGUCCGGUCGAAUAAAUUGAAUGAAGUUCAAAUGAUAGAAAUUGACAAGAAGUAUGUGGAAAAUACAAAUGAAUGUAUGGAUAACACCAUCCGGUUUUUUAUUGUCAAUUUUGCUUUUUUGGGUUAAUUUGAUUGGGACAACGAACAAUACAAUGGAUGUCUGGAUCAAACUUUAUUUUGAUAAUUUUAUACACAACUCAAAUCAUAUUAAGUGUUCACACAUGAAAAAUAUGUAUAUGAAAACAAAAAUGGACCUGUCAAGACCUCUUCGUCCUCAUGUUACUUAGUACCUCAAUUUACUUGAGAGAAAAAGAGUGAGCUAGCUGUACUUUUGUUACUAAUUACAAGUAACAAUGGUCCCAAAACCUCAUGUUAAAGAAAUAUGCUUUGCAAUUUAUUGUGAAAUUGGCCCUCAUUUAAGGUGUUGCGAUAUUGACCGUUAGGAUAUGAGAUUCAUACUUUUAACACGUUCUUAUGUUUGAUGAAUUUUUAAUUUACAAUGAUCAUAAACCAAUUGACAAUAUAAGAAAUAACUAUUUAUAAGUACAUGCAAGGUCAUUUCUUUUCCCAAUAUGAGAUUCAUACUCUAAACAGAAAGGACAUUGACCAAACCACUACAUAUGAAACUUGUGUUCUUGUCUGUGCUUGAUUUUGCUUGGUGUUUUGGUAUUUUCAUUGUGGUUGGUUUGAUUAUUUGCUCAUCAACAUUGAUAAAUCCAUAAAGGCAUUGUACAUACAUACAUAUAUACAUAUAUAUAUACAUAUAUAUAUAUAUAUAUAUAGAUCCAAGGAAGCAUAAUCUCUAUAAUUAAAAGUAGGGAUAUUUUGGAUGCGGUCCCUAAUUCUUAACAUUCUUUGAUUAAAACCUUAAUGGUAUUCAAAGUUUGAUCAAAGUCCCUUGACUUUGUACACCUCAUUAUAUUACUAUUAAUAUUUAUAUUUUUAUAGUUUUGACAUUAAUUGUUUGAUAUUUUAUGAGAUUUAUAAUCCUAUAAAUUUAAAAUCCCUCAUUAUAAUACUAUUAGAAAAGGUUACAAUAAAAGAAUUCAAACAUUUUGAUUGAAUAAAUGGAUAAAAACUAUGUAAAAAUAAGAAAUAAUAAAUGGCAAAAGAAUGUAUCCAUAGUGUUAAAAAAAUUGGUACAUUUCACAUAUGUACAUUAAUAAAGAAGAAUGGGUACAUUACAAAUAAAUUAGGGUACAUAUAAAAGAUUAAAAAAUUAUGAGUACAAAUGAAUUUUUAAAAAAAUAUAGGCCCUAAAAGAAAUUAAUACAUGGGUACAAAAUAAAACUAAAAAGAAAAUACUGCAAAUUUUUAAAAAAAUGUUGCAAAUUAAAAGUGGGUACAAACUAAAAAUAUAAAUAUAUGAUACAAAAGUUUAGGCAUAAAACAUAAAUAUACCAUAUGUAAUUUUUCUAUCAUUGAUUACUUUAAAAAAUAUGGGCACAAACUAAUAUAUGGGUACAAAUUAAAAAUGAAAAGAAAAUUGGUACAAAUUAAAAAAUAUUUGCAAAUUAAAAAUAGGUACAAACUAAAAUUAAAGAUACAUGAUAAAAAAUUUAGCCAUAAAUAUAAAUAUACUAAUUGUAACAUUUUUAACACUAAAGGAAUAUAUUUAAAAAUAAAAUAUUUUAUUAUUCAAAUAAUUAAUGAUGUUAUUAAUACCCAAGGACCUUGAUAAAAAAUUAAAAAUGAAUAAGAUUUUAAUCAAUGAAGUAACAAAAAGAAAGAUGUGAACUUAAUUUCUCCUUAAAAGUAUAGUUGUUAUUGUCGUUCAAAAAAGUGAUCAUGUAUUUCUUCAUUUUAUAAGUAUAAGAAAUAUUAUUGGAGAUGCUUUAAAUGUAUCUUAAGUACACUUUAAGAGAAUAUUAUUUGUAAACUUGUCUUGGAUUCUAAGCCGUUUAGAUUUUUCUAUAAACUCUUUUUUCUUUUCUUCCUCAUAUUUGUUCGCUUCUCACAUUACGUGCUUUUUAAAUAUAUAACAAAAGAAAAUGAUUGAAAAAAAUAUAUUUUGUAUUUGAUGUCUUGUCUUCGAUUUGUUUAUUUAUGUGCUUUUUUUUUUCUUCCCUUUCUCGUGAAGAAUCGGGUUGCCUUGCUUAUAAUUUAAAACAUGAUUACUUAAAAUAUUAUAAUGCGUAUUUAUAUAUUCAUCUACUUUUCAGGUCAUUGUGUGCAUCAACUAUUGAGUGAUUAGGAAUUGGAAUCAACCGAAUUAAGAAUGGCAUGGAAGAAGCACGCGGAAAUGUAUAUAUUCAUUGAAACAAGACGGUCAAAACAUUUGCCAGUUGCAGAUGCAAACGAAUAUAUGCCAAACCACAAAACGUUACGAGCCAUCCGCCAUGAUCAGUGAUGAGUUCACAUGACCAUUCUAAAUUCAUACUGGUGCAUGUUUCCUCGAAAAAACUUCAAAAUAGUCGUUAUGCAUUUAUUUAAACAGUUGACUUAAUAAAUUCCUAAAUUCUAUUUGGGAGCUCAUUUACGGAACCGGUUGGAGAUUCUCUUACCUAUCGUACCAGUGUUACACAAGAUUUACUUUCCUAAUUUUGGCAACUUGGUCGAAUGCGAUAUAUGUGUACACAUAUUUAUAGAGAAGGAAACCAGGUUGCAGAUGCUUUAACUUCAUUUAGGGCAAAUAAUUAUGCUUAUUAUUGGUGGUCUAUAAUUUUAAAUUUCGUAACCUCUGCUCAUGCUCGUGACAUUUCGUUGGCAAUUUUUGUACUUGCGGAUCUUGGCAUAGUCCACCGCCUGCAUGUUUUUCGUUUACUUUCAUUUUUAUCAAUAAAUUUAGUGUACGAGGGACGUGGUGGGGGCUUCCUGGGUGUAAUGGUCUUCACCCCUUCAAGGGAGGAUAGGUGUCUCGCAUACAACCAUUGCUGAAGAGCUAAUCUCACCUAAUCUUUCUCCAUUUGAAAAAUAUAUAUAUCUCUGUACAUGAUGCCUGCUAUUGUCUAUUAAGCAGCAGGAAAACCCUCAUUUUCCAGUUAGGCUCUAAGGAAAUGUCACUUUGAAAAGAAAAAAAAGGCAGUAACUUUGGUAAAUAUUUAAGUAACAUAUUACACACCAAGAAUUAAAAGGAUUUGCAUCCUUUGAGAAUACUCUUCUGUCAAUGUAACAAUUUAUAUCCAACGGCGUAUAGUUUGAAGAAAUUGAUGAAUUUCUCCAAGUAAAUUUUGUACUGAAGGUCAAGCAUUUCUCCAAAGGAAAUUCGGUCACGGAUGUGUAGCUAGCAAUGGUUCUUCUUCUUCUUCUACCGCGUCUUCUUCAGAUGGAUUUUUGUAGCGGCAGUACAGAACCAACUGUACAAGGGCUAACAUUGUUCCAAUACCAUUUGGCAUCUGCAUCCAAAAUAUUAAAAAAUAAACGUAAUGGUUAUGUAAUGCAAGUGUGAUGGGGUUGAUCGGUGCUUGAUGUGAAUGAGAUUCAACUACGUUUUAGGAUGCAAUUUAGACCAAUAAAUGAGACUGACAAAUAGGUGCUACGAUGGUUGAGAGUAUAUAGCUGCUGAAAUUUUGGACUGAAGGAAACAUAGUACUUACAUAUAGAAAAGGGUCCAUCUUGAACACUCCAUAGGCAGUGAAGGAGAAACUCACUAAGAAAGUUGCAAAAGAAAGAUUAAAUGGCAUGAACUCAACGCUUUUUGUUUUGAUCACCAAAUUCUGAAAAAAGGGUAUGUAUGAAACCACAUGAGUGAGGACAAAUUCAACCGUCUAAUAGCAAUCUGACUAAGGAUCAUCCGGCACAAACUUACUAUGACAAUCAAUGGCGAACCAUACAUGAAAAUAAGUGAAGCAAUACUCAAGUAUCCAACAAAUAAUUGCCUCCCAUUGUAGUCGAAAAGACUUAAGCUGACAACGACAAUGGACACAAAUAGAACGAAAACUGCGAUUAACAAUGCCAACAUCUUCAUCUGCAAUAAACAUUUUAAAGAACAACACAUAGUCAGUAAUGCAAAGUUAAAAGGUAUUUUAAUAAGAAAAAUGCAGGUGCCAUUACCUUAAGCGCUCUUUCGGCGUAAGAAAUGAAAAUGCACAAGUAGACUAACUGGAAAACAGUCCCAACUGAAUUGACUGUAGCCACCAGUAUAAUGCCAUUCUUCACUAUAGGCAUUCCAUACCAGCAACAUAUCAAGCAAUUCAAAAGUCCAUAUAUGUAAGGCAUUCCAGAAAAUUGUUCUGUUGACCUGUUUCUGAUAAUUCUAUUGAAUGUUGACCUGGAAUUAGAACAUCAAAGAUUAACAAUCAGUGGGAAAGUACAAAAUCUUGAAUAUAAUUCCAUGCGCAAAGCAAAAAAUUUCAUAAAUCUCCAUUUUUGGCAAAAUUUUGUUGAGCAACUUACAGUGGUGACAGAUACAACCCAAAGGCAAAGAUAUUCCCUGCAGUUGACAGAGAUGGGUGUUAGAAUGUUUCUUGCACAACUACCAUCUUGUUUGUGAAUUGGCAGAAUUUUUCAGGUUGCAGUAAUCCAUAUUGAUUUGUUAAGCCAACUUGUUAUCUGAUUCUGAUGAUGAAAUUGAGAUAAAAAGUUGAUACUCUCUUAACUGCAUAGGAUUCAGAUCAAAAUCCGAUACAUUGACACGUCUACAUAUAAGGCAUCUGAAACAACAUAUAAAUAUAUCCUGCAAUCUGAGACAUUUCUGUUUUGCAAGAUCUAUGAAUUUUCUAUUCAGAUUCCAAAAUUACUAAGCAAAACCAUACAGCAUAUGAAUUCUUCACCUUAAACUAAGAUUCAAUCAGGGCAAAGUUAUCGAUCCACAACAAUAUGUAUAAAGUCAUUCAAAAGAAUUCAUAGCUGCACUUCAGGACAAGCAGAAAUCUGCAUCUAACUAAAGCAUAUAAUGGAAGAAGCGUAAAGAAAGAGAUUAUAUGGUGCAGAAAUGAGGAAGGUUACCGAGAACGCCGGCUCCAUCGCAGAAACUUUGAUAAACAGAAGACAGUUCAGUUGACAACAUUGAUCUAUCAAUUACCAGAACCCUGCUUAUAAGAAAAUAUGUAUGUAUAUAUUCAAAACACCAAGCAAGCAGAAGCUCCCUCUCUUCUCUCUGUGUCUAUUUUGUAGCCUUGUACAUUAGGGUCCGUAUGGGAGGCUUCUCUUAAUAUACUUGCUCAAAAGAUAUGGAACCAUGUGUUAUUCAUUACUACCAAACUACCAAAUCUUUUGGAGAUUUUUUAUUGUGUUUAUAUAAACUUCCUUGUAAACAAGGCUAGUCAUCUAAACACAAUACUUCCUCCAAAUUCAAUAAAAACUUUUACGAAAAAAAUUAAUUGAUGAAACAAUUUUCGAUUUGAUUUUUUGCAACCGUGAUCUUUAAAUAAUUUCUUAAAAAUUGUCUGAUUCGUAUCAUAAAAUAAUGUUGAGGGGAAAACUUAGACGAGUAAUUAGUGUUGUAGUAAGGACUUUACAACCAUCAAAUUAUGUAAAAUAAUUCAAAAUUUGCAGCCAUUGGUCCUUUCACUACUCUUUAAUAGAACUUUCAUCAGGUUUAACAGGUGUUAUAUGGUCUGAAUCUGUGACCUAUCAAAUUGAGUAUUUGAUAGAAGAGAUCAAAUCUUUUGUAUCUACUUUGUUUAUAGGGUCUCUGCGAUUAAUUGAGACAUGUUAGUUUAUGACUAUAAAGUCAAAAAAGAGUUAAAUUUUUAACACGUGUCAAUCAAUAACAGAUGCUACACAUAAAAUAAGUGCAAAAGAUUUGAAUUCUCGAUAAAUGAUUGGGGUGUGCAGAGUGCUCUUUUUGUGGUCAGGUAAAUUGAGUAGGACGACAAUCAAUCAUCACAUGGGGUCUUGAUCAAAUCUGAUCGUCCAAUAUUACUAUAUCAUAUAUACCCAACAAAAAAGGAGCUCUCAAAAACCUCCUUGGUCCUCUCUAAGUUGGUCAAUAAAGAUAGAGAAAUGCUGAGGGAAGUUCUCUUAAAUAGAAUUUUGGGGUGUGAUAUCCACACAUCCCAUUUUACUUCUCACACACCUUUUUUAAUUUUCUGCUGUCGGAUCGGAUGAAUUGAAGAAGAUCAACGGACAUAAAUUAUCAAGGGGUGUGCAAGAAGUAAAAUGGGGUGUGUGGAUAGCACACCCCUAGAAUCUUUUAUAUAUUAUGUUACUUUGCAAUUUUCUUGUUAAUAUUAUAAAAAUUGUGCAAAAAACACUAGAUGACAGAUAGUUAUAGAAAGUUUUACUUUGUUUAUAUGGUCUCUGCGAUUAAUUGACACAUAUUAUUUUACGACUAUAAAGUUAAAAAAGAGUUAAAUUUAUUAACAUAUGUCAAUCGGUAAGAGAUGCUACACACAAAAUAAAUGCAAAAGAUUUGAACUCUGGAUAAAUGGUUGGGGUGUGCAGAGUGCUCUUUUUGUGGUCGGGUAAAUUGAGUAGGACGACAAUCAAUCAUCACAUGGGGUCUUGAUCAAAUCUUAUCAUCCAAUAUUACUAUAUCAUAUAUACCCAACAAAAAUGGAGCUCUCAAAAACCUCCUUGGUCCUCUCUAAACAAAAAUGGAGCUCUCAAAAACCUCCUUGGUCCUCUCUAAGUUGGUCAAUAAAGAUAGAGAAAUGAAGAUAGAUAAAUGCUAAGGGAAACUCUCUUAAAUAUAAUCUUUUAUAGAUUAUGUUACUUUGCAGUUUAACAUUAAUUUUCUUAUUAAUAUUAUAAAAAUUAUGCAAAAAACACUAAAUGAGAGAUAGUUAUAGAAAAUUUUACUUUUAAAACAGUUUUCUUAAUAUUUCUCUAAACAUAUUUAACGUGUUACAGAAAGCCUGUGCUAGAAAGUGCCUGACUCAUUUCAUGGUACGUUGACAUGAUUCAAAAUCAUUUUAGGACCCAUUUAACUUUAAUAAUUCAAUAAUUGCUUUUCUUUGCCGUCUCUAAUAAUUUGCAAAGAAUGAUACCGGACACUACUUUAUUCUGCUCCUUUAAUUAAAGUAAAAUUAUAAAAUGAAAGAAAGUUUAUGAACAGUCUCACUUAAGAACAUGAUGGAGAGUUCACUUCCACUUGAGAAAAUCUUCUUAACAUUUAUUUAUUUUUUUGUGCUUCUUUCCCUUUUUCUUGGGAGAUUGUGUAGAAUAUUAUUAAAUUGUUUUCACUUGACCUAACAGUUUCUUGACCUGCUCUACUAAAUCGGAAAGAGAUCAUUUCCGGAUCUAUCCUUCCAAAGUCCACCAAUCAAUUAAUCUGGGUUCUUAAAAUUUGAUCUAACGACUAAAAUUAUUAUAACUUUUAAAAAGUCUCAAUGUUUUAGCCGUUGGAUCAAAUUUCAAUGACCCGUAUUAAUUGUUUGGCAUGAUUUGGUGGAAGAGAUCCCAAGAAGAUAUUUUUCUUACAUGAUCGGUGAUAAGCUUCCAACUUCACUUCGAUUUUUAAUGUUUUAUACAUGCGUACGUACAUGACCUAAGCAAAUGAAGUUGGUAACUUAUUACUGAUGAUGUAUCACAUUGAAUACACAUAUAAAGUUUGCGUUUGAAAAUUUUAUAUUGAGGUGAGUAAUCGAACUCAUAACCUCAAGUGCAUAGUCAAUUUUAAUUGGCAAGUUGGGUUCGGAAAUUUAAUAUUAUAAUAUAAUUUUAGUGUUCGAAUGAAAACUAGGUUAAAAUGUUCGCAUUGCUUCAAAAGCUAACCUGACAACCUAAAUAAAUAUUGCAAACCUCAAUCACCAAUUUUAUUAACGUUUUCUUUCUUUCAUCCUCUUCUUAUUUACCUUGGUUUAUAAACACUUGUUAUAAUUCAUUAUGUUUCAUUAUUAUACCGUGGGUGAAAAUUCUUUUAAUAAGAAGUUAUUAAUAUUUGUUGAUAAUUGUCCCAUCAAUCUGAGGAGUAAAGAUAAGGGGUGUGUUAUCCACACAUCCCAUUUUAUUUCUUACACACCCUUUGAUAAUUUCUGUUCAUUGAUAUUCUUCAAUUCGUUCGAUCCGACGAUCGAAAAUUAAAAAGGUGUGUGAGAAGUAAAAUGAAAUAUGUGAAUAUCACAUCCCUAAAGAUAAAACCAUUAUGGAAAGUAGGAAACAAUCCAAAAAUAUGAAUGUGAACAAUCUCGUACUAAGACUAGAAAGUACAAGGCACAAUCAACUCCCACCUUCUCCCUCCAAGAACGGGUCAUCCAUAGUACCACCCGGAUUGUGUUUUAGUAUAUAAAGAUAUUAUUGGAAGAAACAUCAUAUCAUGCAAAAAGGAGCAAAGCCUGACUAUUUUUUCAAUGUGACACUACUACAAUAUUAACUUCAGGCGUCGAACGAUCCUGACGGUUAUUAAGUUAUUCUGACGGAUAAAAGAUUUUCGACAUAUAAUUUAUUUACUGUCGGAUUAAAGUUACUUUUUGUUGGAUAUAUACAACAUAAAUUUCUGGCUGAUUUUUCCUAGCGGAUUUAACCGCCAUAAAAUUAUUAUAACCCUCAGUAUUUUUGAAUUCUUUUUUUUUUAUAAUAUUUUUACAUAUUCGGGCGGUUUCUAAGUUAAUUGUGGUGGUUAUAACCGACAUAAAUUGACUAUUUUAUUAUUUUAGAUUCUGGCGGUUAUUAUUUUAGUAUUCUGCUGGUUAUAACCGAUAGAAAUUGACUAUUUUAUUAUUUUAAAAUGUUACAUUGAUUAAAAAUAAAUAAACAAAUGGUGUAAAUAUUUUUUUUCACUCACGGUCCCAUUACCUAAUAUCUGAAUGUUUUUUUUUUUGCGAUUUUUUACACAUGCUAUCUCGGAGUAUAUACAAACAUAUUUGACGGUUGAAUCGUUGAAACUAGUUUCGUAGAAUGCAUACCUAUCAAAUUGAUAGAUUUAACAAACACUUAAAGAGUUAAUGUUAUACUUCCAUUAAGUAUAAAAAAUUAUCCACUAGUGUAAAUAUUUUAAAUUGAAGAUCGAAUUUGUUCAAUGCAUUCUUAUAGGGUCGAGGAGUGUAGCUGUAAAAAAUCAUCAAAAUCGAAGCUAAAAUAACCGUUAAAUUGUGAUUUUUUGUUUAUAACCAUCGAAAUUUUUUGUUUAGUUACCUAAUCUCUGAAUGUUUGUUUUUUAUAAUUUUUUACGUAUGCAAUCUCAGAGUGUGUAAAAAUAAGUUUGACGGUUGGAUCGUUGAAAAAAGUUUCAUAAAAUGCAUAUUGCAUCAAAACUGUAGAUUAAACAAACACUAGUUAAUAUUAUACUUCUAUUAAGUAUAAAAUAAGAUUUUGUAGUAUCCACUAGUGUAAAUAUUUUAAAUUGAAGAUCAAAUUUAUUCAUUACAUUCUUAUAGGGUCAAGGAGUGUAGCUGUAAAAAAUCAUCAAAAUCAUAGCUAAAAUAACCGUUAAAUUGUGAUUUUUCUUUUAUAACCGUCGAAAACUUUUGUUCCGUUACCUAAUCUCUGAAUGUUUAUUUUUUUACGAUUUUUUACGUAUAAAAUCUUGGAUUGUGUACAAAUAAGUUUGACGGUUGGAUUGUUGAAAAAAGUUUCGUAUAAUGCAUAUUGCGUCAAAACAGUAGAUUAAACAAACACUUAGAGUUAAUAUUAUGCUUCUAUUAAGUAUAAAAUAAGAUUUUGUGGUAUCCACUAACGUAAAUAUUUUAAAUUAAAGAUCAAAUUUAUUCAUUACAUUCUUAUAGGGUCGAGGAGUGUAGCUGUAAAAAAUCAUCAAAAUUGGAGCUAAAAUAACCGUUAAAUUGUGAUUUUUUGUUUAUAAUCGUUGAAAACUUUUGUUCCGUUACGUAAUAUUUGAAUGUUUGUUUUUUACGAUUUUUUACGUUUGCAAUCUUGAAGUGUGUACAAAUAAGUUUGACGGUUAGAUCGUUGAAAAAAGUUUUGUAGAAUGCAUAUUGCGUCAAAACGGUAGAUUAAACAAACACUUAGAGUUAAUAUUAUACUUCUAUUAAGCAUAAAAUAAGAUUUUGUGGUAUCCACUAACGUAAAUAUUUUAAAUUAAAGAUCAAAUUUAUUCAUUACAUUCUUAUAGGGUUGAGGAGUGUAGCUAUAAAAAAUCAUCAAAAUCGGAGCUAAAAUAACCGUUAAAUUGUGAUUUAUCGUUUAUAACCGUUGAAAACUUUUGUUCCGUUAUGUAAUCUCUGAAUGUUUGUUUUUUUACAAUUUUUUACGUAUGUAAUCUCGGAGUGUGUACAAAUAAGUUUGCCGGUUGGAUCGUUGAAAAAAGUUUCAUAGAAUGGAUAUUGCGUCAAAACGGUAGAUUAAACAAACACUUAGAGUUAAUAUUAUACUUCUAUUAAGUGUAAAAUAAGAUUUGUGGUAUCCACUUGUGUAAAUAUUUUAAAUUAAAGAUUGAAUUUAUUCAUUACAUUCUUAUAGGGUCGAGGAGUGAAGCUGUAAAAAAUCAUCAAAAUCGGAGCUAAAAUAACCGUUAAAUUGUGAUUUUUUGUUUGUAACCGUCGAAAACUUUUGUUCCGUUACGUAAUCUCUGAAUGUUUGUUUUUUACGAUUUUUUACAUAUGCGAUCUUGUAGUAUCUACAAACAAGUUUGACGGUUAGAUCCUGAAAACUAGUUUCGUAGAAUGCAUAAAUUUGCCAAAAUUUUGAAGUGGGAAAAGUAAUUUGUGAUAAAUUUUUAUUUAUGUUUUUCAAGUAUUGAUUAGACAAUAUUUAGUUUGUGUGAAGACAUUUUCAUUGUAUAAUUAUCUUUUUGUUUCUUUAUCGCAUAUUUUGCAUGAAUUAUUAUCUAUUAAACCAAAAAUGUAAAAAUUAUAUAUUAAACCAAACAAUUAUUUAUUUAAUUUUUAAAAACAUAUUCUAUUUAAAUACAUAUUAUUUAUUUAUUUAUUAAACCAAACAAUUAUUAUUUUAUUUUUUAAAAUCGUAACAAAAUUUGGGGGAAAGUUUAAAAUUUUCAGAGGGAAUUUUGGGGGGAUUUUUGCCGCCAUUUGUUUCUGUCGGUUAUAACUGACAUUAAUGAGAAGUUUCUGUCGGUUUUAACCGACAGUAAUGAAUAUUUCCACAUUAUAACCCCUCAAUCUCUUCUUUGCGCCGAUGCUUCUCCAUUCCCCAUUUUCUCCUUUCAUCAUUUCAUUCUCAUUCUCUUCUCUCAUCACCUCAUUUACUUCCAGUUUGAACACUUGCAACCAAAGUUCAUUAGCGAAUAUGGCGAAGAAGAAGGUAACACUCUCCCUCUCUCUCUCUCUCUAUCUCUCUCUCCUACAUCGAGGUAAACGGUUCAAAAAAUUUCUUGACAUUGCAGAUUUCAGAACACUGACACAAAGACUGGAACAUUGGAAAAUAGCUUCACAAUAAUCUCUUCAUUUCCUUGUUGCUAGGUCCAAUGUUGAAAGCAUUGAUGAUGAUCAACAAAAGGUGGAUAAGCUAUCCUUGAAGAAAAAAGGUAAAACAUGCACUCACGCUUUUAGAUUUGAAAAACCCAAGCUCGGUUUUCCCUGGUUUGAGUUUGAUGUAGUGGAUCAACAUGCAACAAAAUAAUCAGUUUUCAGCUUCUUAGUCUGGAUUUUUCCCAUCCAUGAUCCCUCCAACCGGCCUGCAAAAUAACCUUGGUACAGAUAAUCCAUCCAAGUUAUUGAACUUUCAAGCCCCAGUGCUGUCUGCACCCGGUCUCUAGUCAAAUAAAUCAGCUCCACAAAACCAAGCUAGCCAAAUGUAGCAGCCGAAUGUGACAUGGGCCCAACAGCAGCAGCUGCAGUAAUUGAUGCAUAGUCCUAUGAGCCAACAGCAGCAAAGUAACCCCGAACAGCAGCAGCUACAUCAAUUAUUGAAUUCUUCAGCGAACCAACAUUAGCAAAAUCACCCCCAGCAGCAGCUCUAGAAUUACUCCCAUUAGAAGCAGCGGGAGCCUCAACAACAGCAAGACCUUCAAAACCUGCUGCAGCAUCAGCAGCUGCACCAGGAUUUCUGUCGGUUUUCUAUUAAUAUUAAUAUAUAUUUUUUCUUAUUAAUAUAUAUAUUUUUCUUAUUAAUAUAUAUAUUUUUCUUAUUAAUAUAUUUUCUGUCGGUUUUAUCCGACAAGAAUGAUUUUAUUUAUUUUUAUAAUAAAUUCUUUGUCGGAUUUUAUUUAUUUUCUGUCGGUUUUUUCCGACAGAAAUUUUAAUAAAUAAAUAUAUAUCGUGUCGGUUAUAACCGACAGUAUUUCUAUCGGAUAUAACCGACAGUAUUUCUGUCGAAAAAUUCAUUUUCUGACGCAGGCAAUGCUGUCGCUUAUUAUAUCCGUCACUGCAUUCAUUUUCUGUCGGAUUUUGCUUAAAAUCCGACAGUAAUAUACAUUUUUUGUCGAUUUUUGAACCGCCAGUUAUAGUUAAUUUUGUAGUAGUGUGAAUGUAACUUGAAUUAGUGAAUUUAGUGUCAUAAUAAGUGGUGAGAUUUUUUUUCAAGUUUCCAACCACUUGUAUUAUAUAUUUGAUAUACCAAACUAUACUUUCGACGCACUAAAAAAUAUGUCCAGAGAAACAAGGGAGGCAAGAAUCCAAAGCAAACAUAAAAGGCUACAGACGCGUGAGCCAUUCAUGGCAAAAACAGCGAAAAAGGAAAAGCGUGCCCAGAAACUAAGGGGGAUUGCAUUGAAUCCAAUUGUCCACACGCAUCAUCCUCAUAGUAGCUUGGUUAGCUUCUAUAGGGAUCCAAGACCAGCGACUUCUAUAGGGACCCACGACCAGCAGAAACCAGCAAUGUAGUUUUUGACUUUAAACAUUGCUAUCGGAAGAUGUUAUAUUUGACGUUGAAUUUACCCCUCUUUCUUGCUAAAGACAAUGGCGUAGCCAUGUUAAGGGCUAUACAUUGGAGAAAUGAAGUGUUUACAAGACUCUGAUUGUAUUUCAAUCAAGAUUGUUCUUCAAGAAUCUAUGCUUCAGCAGUUUUGAUUGUAUUGAAUUAGAAAUGAAGUGUUUACAAGGCUUUUUAUAUGACGACAACUUCUUAAUGACUAAACUACCCUUCUUUAUCUAUUUAACAACUACCGUAUAGAUUGACAUGUCAUCAACCAUUAAGAUAUUACCAUGUGUCUUCACUCAUCAUCCCCCAUCAAUCUUGGCUGGGAAUCCAAGCCGAUGAUUGCAACAAUGUUUGAAAAAUACUGGACUAUGUAAUCCUUUGGUUAGAAUAUCAGCUGUUUGCAAUCCAUGGCAAUGAAGAAUGAUUCGACAAAGCAAAAAAGAUAAGCAAAGAAGAGAGAUGUUUGAGAAAUAUAGAGAGAAAGAUCUGAUUGUAUUGAAUAAAAAAUGAAGUGUUUACAAGGCUUUUUAUAUGACAACAACUUCUUAAUGACUAAACCACUCAUCCUUAUCUAUUUAACAACUACCUCCAGAUUCAAACUAACCUCAACUAAUUACAUCCACUCCCAACUGUAUAGAUUGAUAUGUCAUCAACCAUUAAGAUACUGCCAUGUGUCUUCACUCAUCACCCCCCCUCAAUCUUGGUUGGGAAUCCAAGCCGAAAAUUGCAACAAUGUUUGAAAAAUACUGGACUAUGCAAUCCUUUGGUUUGAAUAUCAGCUGUUUGCUCCUCAGUGGGUACAUAUUGAACAAGUAUGUCAUUCUUCUGAACUUUUCUCAAACAAACUUUUCUCAAACAAAGUGAAAAUCGGUGUCAAGAUGUUUAAUCCUGGUGUGGAAGACAUGAUUGGAACAUAGAGCAAGUGCUGACAGGUUAUCACAGUGUAUGAGAGGAGGUUUAGGUAAGAACUGAUGUAAAUCUCUUAACAGAUUCUGAAUCCAUGUAAUAUCAGCACACAAUGAGCUAGAUAUUUAUACUCAGCUUCAGUUAAACUUCUAGAGACCGAAGCUUGAUUCUUAGACUGCCAUGAGAUUGGAUUAUGCCCGAGAUACAUAACAAAACCAGUGACUGAUCUUCCAGUAUUAGGAUCAGUUGCCCAAUCCGAAUAUGAGAAAGCAAUAAAUGAUGUAUCUACUGAGGUUGAAUAAGUGAGACCAUAUUCAUUGUACCUUGCACAUAGCGUAUGAUCCUUUUGACUAGAUCAUAGUGCAUCUCAGUGGGAGUAUUCAUAUAUUGACAUGCAACAUUAACAGUAUAUGCCUAAUCAGGUUGUGUGAAUGUAAGAUACUGUAGAGCUCCUACCAAAAUCCGAUAUAAUGUAGUAUCAGAUAAAGGAGUUCCUUCUGAAUUAAAAAAUUGAGUAUAAGGUUGACAUGGUGUAUUCACAGAUUUACAAUUAUCCAUUCUUGCCUUAUGUAGCAAGUCUUUGGCAUAUUUAGCAUGACUGAGAAAAAUGUCUCAAUUUGAUAUGUAUUCAAUCUGCAGUCCCAAGAAAUAUGAUAGUUUGCCCAUACCUUUAAGAUCAAACACAUUCCCCAACUCUGUGAUGACUGCUUAAACCUUUUCUGGAUUAGAUCCAGUUGAAAUGAUAUCAUCAACAUAUAGUAAUAAUGCAACAACAUCCACUUCAUCAUACUUCACAAAUAAACUAGUGUCAGAUUGAGACGUUAUGAACCCCAUUGUAGGUAAAUAUCCAGUGAAAUUGGCAUUCCAUGCUCAAGGUGCCUGUUUAAGGCCAUAUAGAGACUUAACCAACUUGCAAACAUGAUUUGGAUACUGAGAAUCAAUAAACCCUUGUGGUUGUUUCAUGUAUACCUCUUCUUCUAAGUCACCAUGCAAAAAUGCAUUUUUAAAAUCAAGUUGUCUCAGUUCCCAUUUGUGUUGUGCAGCAAGUGAAAUAAUGAGUCUCACAGUAGUGUGUCGAACAACAGGACUAAAGGUCUCAAAAUAAUCCAAACCAUGUUCUUGAGUAUAUCCCUGAGCAACCAAACAUGCCUUAUAUCUUUAAAUUGACCCAUAGGGAUUUUUCUUCAGUUUGUAAACCCAUUUGCUUCCAAUAACUAUCCUGUGAGUAGGUUGAGGAACUAAAAUCCAAGUACCUUGACUCCUAAGUGCAUCAUACUCUUCUUGCAUUGCAUUAUGUCAGUGUUUGUUUGUUGUAGCACUUCAAAAUGAUGUUGGUUCAACAAUAUCAUGAAUAUGAGCCAUACAAGAGAAACCAUUUUGACAAGUAUCUAAAUCAUCCAGUCUCAAAGCAGAAAAUUUAGGAAAAUAUGUAAUAUAGCUAGAGUAAUCUUUUCUAGAAAUAGCACCAAUUUGCAACCUGGUUUGCAUCUUGUGAGUGUGAGUAUCACAUUGUGAGACAUUACCAAUAUCAGAUGUUUCAAAAGGAAGAAUUACCUCCAAUUGUGCAAGAUGAAGGACAUGUAACAUAGAGGCUAUAUUUGGAGCUAAGAGAGUUGUUUCAGAUUGUUCAGAUGAUGAAGAACUAUCAAAUGUAGUGUUGGAGCCUUGAAAUCGUGACUGUACCAUUGGAUUUGUAGAGUUAGAAUCUGAAAGUUGCACUUCAGUACUAGAAGACAGAUUCAUAAUUUCUGAUAUUGGAUUAACAUUUCGAGGAUGCACAGGAAGAACAAAUGUUGCUAAUGAUUUGUGAUUUGUAGUUUUCUGAGUACAAGACAUACCCUGAGAUUGAUCCCUUGAAACUCCAGAACUAAACUUGCAAGGAAACACAUCUUCAUUGUGAAUGACAUGUCUAGAAAUGAUAAAUUUUCUAGACUGUGGAUGAUAGCAUAUGACACCCUUAUAUCCAUGUGCAUAUCCAAGAAAAACACAUAACACAGCUCUUUGUUGUAACUUGUUUUCAUUGUAUGGUUUAAUAUAUGGAUAGACUGCACUACCAAACACUUUUAACUUUUGUAGUCUAGAAACAUCACCAAACAUCAUCUGAUAUGGAGAUUUUAAACUUAAAAUCUUACAUGGCAUCCUGUUGAUAAAAAAAAAAAAAAAACAGAGUGAGCACAUGCAUGAAACCACAACUUUUGAGAUAAACCAGCAACUGUCAUGAAUAUUAUAGUUGUUUCCACAAUAUGUCUAUGUUUUCUCUUAGCAAUUCCAUUUUGCUGAGGAGUAUAGGGACGAGACUUUAUGAAUUAUACCUUUUUGUGCUAGAAAAUUCUGAAAUCUUUUACUCAUGUAUUUUCUUCCUCCAUCAGUUUGAAUGCACUUAAUAACAAUAUGAAAUUGAGUACAUACAAAAUUGUAAAACUUGAGAAAAACAUCAAACACUUCUGAUUUAUUAACCAAUGUGAAUAUCCACACAUAUCUAGAAAAUUCAUCUACAAAAGGUAAUAUAGUCAUCUUCCCUGAAAUACAAAACGAACACAUAUGUUGUGUAUCAUCAGCACUACUAUCUAUCUGAGAUUGCUUCAACAUUGUACGUAAGACUUUAUUGGUUGGAUGUCCACACAUUUGAUGCUAAAUCUCAUGCUUCACUUUCUGUCCGAGUAACCCAGUUAGCUUGUUCUUAGACUUUACUGCAGCAUUUAUGAUCAACUUGGUAGGAAUCUUAAACAACUCUCCAUGCUUAUUUCGUGGUAAAUCACAGUCUUGGUUACCUUGUCCUGCACAAAGAAAUCAUUCUCAUCACAUAUGAACCAACAUAAAUUAUCUUUACAAAGUUGUUUGACAGAUAACAAACUGACUGCAAUAGUAAGAACAUGUAACACAUUUCUCAAAAUUAAAGAAUGAGGCAAUGUGUGUAAUUUUGCAAAUCCAAUGUGAUGAAUUGGCAAACCUUCUCCAUUGCCAACUAUAAUUCGAUCAGUACCCUCAUAUGGAUUAACUUGCUGAAGAGUGUUCACAUCUGAAGUCAUGUGAUGUGAUGCACUCGUGUCUACAACCCAAUAGUCAUUUGGCAAGUAAGUUGGCUGAACUUGUCCUUGCAUUGCAGUUAGAGAUUAUGAUGGUACAUUGCCUUGAUAAGCAAAAUUAUUCCUAUGAUAGCAAUCCAAUACACUAUGACCAUUCUUCCCACAUAUCUGACAUUCAAUAACUGAACUAUUUGAGCUUGAAUUUGUAGUCAUUUUCUAGCAAUUUGGAGUAGUAUGCCCUCAUUUGAAACAAAUCUGACACUCUGGAACAAUGUGUGACCUUGUUUCAGUGUUACCAAACCAAGAAUUCCAACUCUCAUUAUUCUGCCUGUUACCAGAAGAUUGACCCCUACCAUUACUUGAAUUGUUCCCUCUUUGUGAAGAUCGAAAAUUCCCAUUUCCACUACCAUUGUUAUUAGGCUUGAAAGAUCUUGAAGCACUAUUUUGAUUUGAGAACUGCCUUGGAGCAGUAGCAUUGCUCACAAGUCCAUAUGCAUUUGGAAACUCACGGUAUCCUGGGAAUGAAGAUUAUUGAUGCACAAAACUGGAGGGGUCUUGGAACAACGUAAAUCCGACCAUGAAUCUACAAGAAAGUAAAGAACACAAGAUGUAUCGUGGUUCACCCCAAUGUUUGGGCGACGUCCACACUGAUGUUGAUCGUAUUUCUCUAUAACUGUAUAUAUGGAUUACAAGUGUGAGGGGGAGUCCCCUAGAGAAAAAGAGAGUUUGAGAGAGUUUCUCUGUUUGUGAGCCUUGUGGCUUUGUAUGUGAGGAUGAAACCUGAGGAUUAUGAGGGUGAGGAGGCCCUUUUAUAGACUAAGGGCUCAUCCCAUUUUACAUGAAUCAUGGGCUCAAUCUCUGGAAGCCCAAGUAAUGAGGCCCAAUAUAAUAUGGUAUCAACAGUAGUCCCCCAAGUUUUCAGUCAAGAGAGUCUUUUGGCUAGAGACUUGAAAUUCAGUCCAUGUGUGGGCCGAAGUAACUAGAUGUCGUCUAGAACUGAUACUUGAUAUGGGGCGGUGCUCAAUGUGAAAUGAUGCUCAACUAGAAGUAGCACAUGUUGCGAUGCUACUCAGCUUGUGGCUUAUGUUGCCUUGGUUGGCUCGGCUUGUGGCGUUGAAAGUGAGGGAGUCCCUUUUAUAAAAUAAGGGCUCGCUUUUCAAUACAUAAAUGAUGGGCUAGAGUUGAUGUUCGCAGCGAGGCAGUUGCUCAGCAAGCGGUGAUGCUAUCUAAUGAUUGUGAGGGAGUCCCUUUUAUAGAAUAAGGGCUCGCUCCUCAAUACAUAAGUGAUGGGUUAGGAAUGAUGUUCGCGGCGAGGCGGUUGCUCAGCUGUCGGCGAUGCUCUUUAAUGAAAGUGAGGGAAUCCCUUUUAUAAAAUAAGGGUUCGCUCCUCAAUACAUGAAUAAUGGGUGCUCUCUAAUGAAAGUGAAGGAGUCCUUUUAUAGAAUAAGGGUUCGCUCCUCAAUACAUAAAUGAUGGGCUAAGUCCCCCAAGUAUUUUUCAUAAGGCCCAGUUGCGGAAGUCCAAUAUAUGGUACAUAGUGUAGUCCCCUAAGUCUUCAGUCAAUAGAGCUAUUGGCUAGAGACUUCAAAUUCAAUCAUGUAUAGGCCGAAGUGGCAGUUGUUCGGAGGCGGUCUUUGUAUACCAUGCAUUGAAGCUUUGAGAGUGAAGUUUUAUAGGUGAAGCUUUGAAAGUGAAGCUUUGAAGCUGGAGCUUUUGUAAAUGAAGCUUUUGAAACUAGAGCUUUUGUAAAUGAAGCUUUCGAAGCUGGAGAUCUGUAAAUGAAGCUUUCGAAGCUGGAGCUUUUGAAGCUAGAGCUCUGUAAAUGAAGCUUUCAAAGCUAGAGCUUUGUAAAUAAAGCUUUCGAAGUUGAUUGACAUGAGUGAUGCUCAUGAAUGUUUAUGUUGAUUGACAUGAGUGAUGCUCGUGGAUAUUGACAUGAGUGAUGCUCAUGAAUGUUGACAUGAGUGAUGCUCAUGAAUUUUUAUGUAUGAUUGACAUGAGUGAUGCUCAUGUAUAAUUUUGGAGUACUGGACGUACUUUUGAUCACCUAUUUGCUGAUAAUAGCGGUAGGCUGCUGAAUAAUUUUGGAGUAUUGGACGUACUUUUGAUCACCUGGUUGGUGAUAAUAGCGGCAGACUGUCGAAUAAUUUUGGAGUACUGGACGUACUUUUGAUCACCUGGUUGGUGAUAAUAGAGGGUGAACCUUAAGUAGAGGGAUGAAGGUUAGAGUUUGAAGCCAUAAGGUCUGGCUCUUUUGGGCAUAAGGGCAUUUGCUCUCCACAUAACAUUCCAGCCCACUAUUAUAGGCUUGCUGACAUUUUUUUUAUUAUCCUCUGGUGGAGUUAUACAGAUGUCUCCAAAAGAUAAGAAAAGUAAAUCACAUCAUUCAAAAAAAAAAAAAAGUGAUGGGACUUGGCAACAGUGAGAUUUCCUUUGUAAGAGUGGUUGACAAUUGCAUGUUGUUGGUGCGUACUGCGCCUACUGCGUACUGGAGAGUUUUUUCUACUUUUCCUUUUCUCUUUCCACCGCACAUCUCUCUCCGUCUCUGUCUCUGCGCUGCUGUCAUGCAUGUGCACCCAAUUAAUCAUUAAUCUCUUCUUUACAGUUUGUCCCCUACCACUUGCGGUCUUACUAAGUCAAAUCCCAAUCUCUCAGAUUUUAUUCUCUUCUUUACUUUUGCUUUCUGCUUUGCAGGUUUACAACAUGGGUGAGCAGUGACUGUAAAUCCACUUCCUUCUAAGCUUUUCUCAUCUCCAAACAUCAUUUUUUAGAAGUGGAAUCUUAUCUUGUUCUGUGCUUGCCACUUUUGUAUGUUGGUAUACCAACUCCACUGGUCUGGGACACGUCAUAGAUCUCACCCUUGAUAGCCAUGAGCAGAGGCUUCUUACUGCUUUAAUUCUUCUUUGGUGAUCUUGCCGAGCUGGACGACGAUGAGUGUCAUUUGUUAUGAGUCUUUCGAUAAUUCUGGUGUCAGCAAAGCCUUUGAUGCGAUUGGGAGACGGGUUUCGAUGAACGAGAGAGAAGGUGACGAGAACUGGGAGAGAUACCAAAAGAGCAGCCAAUAUCUUGGUCAAAUUCAUCGGACUAAUCAGCCUGGAUUUCGACGGGGUGACUCGAGCGGCGGAGACAAGUUUGUUACGACUUGCGGGGUUCGAUUACGGUGAAAGUCGCCUCCUGCUGUUGGAUUCUCUCAGAUCCAUUCAUACAUUAUGAUAGCUCGAUUGGAUUCGAGCAUGCCAGGGUUGUUCGAGCAUGCCAUGGUUAUCUCUCAAGGUUUAUUUUUCAUUAAAUGAGUGCAAAUACGCAGAGAGAGUGUGUGUGCUUUAUGGUGGCUUUGAAAUUGAAUGUGUGAACGGUGCAGCUCCUGACGUUGGGGAGUGAUCGGAAACGUGGUCGCGUCGUCGGGAAGGAAGCUGAUUGACGGCGGGGGCGGAGCGACGACCGGAUGACACGUGAGUAGAAGGGGAGGGCCACGUGGGUGGGUUCGGCAACUGAAAACGCCCGCAGGCCUUGCAACUGCAACAUCUCUGCAGCUCCGCUCAGUUAAAAGUGCUGGGCAGUGCUCGGAACAUAAAGAAAGAGACAGAUACGGUGGUUGCGUUGGGGAGGUUUUGUUUCUGCAUUUUUUAGAGAUGGGUUUUGCAGUGACUCUGCAGAUGUUUGGUUCUUCGGUUUCUGCCGAUUCACGGUGGAUGAGAUGAAAAAAAUGAAAGAGAACCGACAUAGCUUUUCGUGUCGUUCCACCAAACGAUUAAACCGUGAAAGAACACAAGAGUUGGAAAACGUAAAUCCGACCGGAAUCUACAAUGUGAUGCAACAAUGAAAGUAAAACAACACACUGAUGUAUCGUGAAUUAAAGAACAAAGAUGAUGUAUCGUGGUUCACCCCAAUGUUUGGGCUACGUCCACACUGAUGUUGAUUGUAUUUCUCUGUAACUGUAUGUAUGGAUUACAAGUGUGAGGAGGAGUCCUCUAGAGAAAGAGAGAAUUUGAGAGAGUUUCUUUGUUUGUGAGCCUUGUGACUUUGUAUGUGAGGAUGAAACCUGAGGAUUAUGAGGGUGAGGAGACCCUUUUAUAGACUAAGGGCUCCUCCCAUUUUACAUGAAUCAUGAGCUCAAUGUCUGGAAGCCCAUGUAACGAGGCCCAAUAUAAUAUGGUACCAACAAAGAUGAUGAUGGAUGAAAUUGAUUACCAGAAAAUUAAGUACCAAGAAAUUGAGUAUCAGGAAAUUGAGGAUACAUCAGUGGCAUAUUAGAUGAGACUGGCAUUGAAAGAAGUGGAAAUGGCAAGGAACCACUACUUAAACCAGUGCCCUAUGACAUACUAGCAGAUUGCAUUCCAAAAGAUGAAGAUCUACUUGGUAUCUGAGUUAAGACACUUGUUGAUGCACAAAACCGAAGGUCUUGGAACAACGUAAAUCCGACCGUGAAUCUGCAAGAAACGUAAAUGACACAAGAUGUAUCGUGGUUCACCCCAAGGUUUGGGCUACGUCCACACUGAUUGUAUUAUAUUUCUCUGUUGAAGAGGGAGAGAGAGCUUAGAGCUUAGGGGAUGUGAGGAGGCUCCAGAAAUGGCCUCCCCUAAUUGUGAGGGUAAGAGGUCAUUUUAUAAAACAAGGACUCCUCACUUAUUACAUAUUUGCCCCUUCCUUUAUCACAUAAUUACAUUUAAGUCCCCUGAGUAUUUGUACGAGAUCUAAAUACGAGGCCUUAAAUAUGGUAUAAACAGUAGUCCCCCAAGUCUUCAGUCAAUAGAGUCUUUUGGCUGGAAACUUGAAAUUCAGUCCAUGUGUGGGUCGAAGUAACUAGAUGCUGUCUUGAACUGAUGCUCGAUAUGAGGCAGUGCUCAAUUUGAAAUGACGCUCAACUAGAAGUAGCACACGCUGCGAGGCUGCUCGGCUCGUGGCUUAUGUUGCCUUGAUUGGCUCGGCUUGCGACGUUUGAAGGUAAGGGAGUCCCUUUUAUAGAAUAAGGGCUGGCUCCUCAAUACAUGAAUGAUGGGCUAGAGUUAAUGCUCUCUAAUGAUGGUGAGGGAGUCCCUUUUAUAGAAUAAGGGCUCGUUCCUCAAUACAUAAAUGAUGGGCUAGAGUUGAUGCUCACGGCGAGACGGUUGCUCAGUAGGCGGUGAUACUCUCUAAUGGUGGUGAAGAAGUCCCUUUUAUAAAAUAAGGGCUCGCUCCUCAAUACAUGAAUAAUGUGCUAAAGUUGAUGCUCUCUAAUGAUGGUGAGGGAGUCCCUUUUAUAGAAUAAGGGCUCGUUCCUCAAUACAUAAAUGAUGGGCUAGAGUUGAUGCUCGCGGCGAGACGGUUGCUCAGCUGGCGGCGUUGCUCUCUAAUGAUGGUGAGGGAGUCCUUUUUAUAGAAUAAGGGCUCGCUCCUCAAUACAUAAGUAAUGGAUUAAGUCCCCCAAGUAUUUUUUUAUGAGGCCCAGUUGAGGCCCAAUAUAUGGUACAUAAUGUAGUCCCCCAAGUCUUCGGUCAAUAGAGUCUGUUGGCUGGAGACUUCAAAUUGAAUCCAUGUAUGGGCCGAAGUGGCGGUUGUUCGGAUGUGGUAUUUGUAUACCCUGCAUUGAAACUUUGUAAGUGAAGCUUUGCAAGUGAAGCUUUGAAGCUGGAGCUCUAUAAAUGAAGCUUUUGAAGCUAUAGCUUUUGUAAAUGAAGCUUUUGAAGCUAGAGCUUUGAAGCUUUGAAUGAAGUUGAAGCUUUUGAAGCUGAUUUCUGAAUGUUGACAUGAGUGAUGCUCAUGAAUGUUUAUGUUGAUUGACAUGAGUGAUGCUCAUGGAUGUUGUCAUGAGUUGAUGUCAUGAUGUUGAUGAGUGAUAUGAGUUGUUUAUGCUGAUGAUGUUUGAUGUGAUUGAUAUAAGUAGUGCUCAUGCUCAUGAAGAUGAGUUCCUUCUUCACCUGGUUGGUGGUAUGAGUGGCAAGUUACCAAAUGAUAUUAGAGUACGGAUUAUACAUUUCAUCACCUGGUUGAUGGCAUGAAGAAGAGUACGGGUUGUACAUUUCAUCACCUGGUUGGUGGUAAUAGCGGCAGGUUGCCAAAUAAUUGUGGAAUACUGGGUGUACUUUUAAUCACCUGGUUGGUGGUAAUAGCGGCAUGUUGCCGAAUAAUUUUGGAGUACUGGGCGUACUUUUGAUCACCUUAUUGGUGAUAAUAAAGGUGGGUUGCCGAAUAAUUGUGGAGUACUGAGCGUAAUUUUGAUCACCUGGUUGGUGCUAUUUCAGGCUUAUGGGCCUUCGCCCUCCACAACAUGCCAGCCCAUUUAUUUUGGGCUUUGCCUUUUUUUUUUUUUUUUUUUUUUUACCCUCUGAUGAGGUUUAUACAGAUGUUUCCUAAAGAUAAGGAGAAUAAAUUACAUCAUUCUGGUGGGGUGUUUAUUCCUUGCUUUUGCAGUGUUUUUCUGCUGCACUCUCUCUGUCUCUUCAUCUGGCAAACAUAAGGAAUCAUAAUAAUAGGAAGAUCUUUUGCGUUUCUCUUUUCCUUUUCUACUUUUCCUUUUGCUUUUGUUUCUGUUUUCCACUGCUUCUCUUUUCCUUUUGCUUUUGUGCCGCAGCUCACUUGAUUGUUUUUCUUUCUGCUUUUUUCUUUUGCUUGUCUUUCUCUUUUCCAUUUCCUGCAUGUACCACCCACUUGCUUUCUUUUGCUUUUCUCUAAAGUGACCACUGCUUGACAACUGAUAUUUUCGUGGUAAUAAUUGCAGCCAAAGUGACAGCUGCAUCCCCUUCUCCACCUGCUUCCUGCUCAUCUCGCCGCGGAUCUGCAGGACCCUCAUGUCCUCCUUUUUUAUCACGUGCCAUAACCAUCUCCGUCAAAUGGAGAAGCGUAGUCCAGAGAAGCCAAGAGAUAUAGAGGACAUUGGCGACGACGGAGCUAAUGGCGUCGAGCACGUCACGUGAGCUGCAGCAGACCACCAUGGGCAACCCCGGACACCGACCCGCCACGCCCAAUAUGGUAUAAACAGGAAGCAUGACCAAAAAUUUGAUAAAUACAAUCAGCUGAUCUUGAUCAAGCCACUUUUUACAUGCACAGCAGAAAACCCAUCUUUCAAAAACUUGAGAAUGCUCUCGAGGUAACUCGUAAUCCUAGAAAGCCAAUCGCUGCUCUAUUUCGAAGUAGUCAAAUUCUCCGACGUCGACAACAUAGCCGCAUCGGCCACCAUGUAAAGCAAGCUCUCGGCUUUACCGAACAACUCCAUCAGCACAGCUCCUGCGUCUUCUGGUUCGGGAAUCAGACCGGGGUUGGGGUCAAGCCGGGCCACGGCGAGCGAGCCGCGGAGGAGGGACUUGGAGUGGGGGAAGCCGUAGUUGUAAUUGGAAUUUUGAAAGUUUGGAAACCCUAAAAGGUUGAGCUGCUGUUGCAGAGAUGAGGGGAGUGUGGGCGAUUCAUGCGAAUGGGGGAUGAACCGGAAAGAUGUUUGGCGGGACAGGUGAUUGAGGAGAGGCAACUGGAUAUGACUGAGGAUGAGCUCUUUGCUGUUGAUAAUUAUACUGCAGAUGGUGGCUCUGAUAAUUAUAUUGAUCUGAUCUUUUGAUUCUAGAAUUGGAAUUCGGGGUACUCGAAUAAGAGUAAGGUCGAGAAGUGUUGAUUUCAACUGUUUUGAUAGGAUCUCUCUGAUCAAACGAAGCUCUGCCUGGAUUGAUCUCAUGUUGCCUUCUUCUUGUCCAACCAUCAAGCAAAUUAAAUUUCUCCUCUAACUCCUCAUGCUCACCAGCAUCUUCGUCGCUGCUACCACUACUCAAUUUCUGGCUAGAGAAGGAAUAAGCAAGGCUGGUACUCCCUUCACGCUUCAAGGCAGUUUGCUUGGUUUGCUGUUGAUAUUUAGAAAGAGAACUUCAAUCUUCUGUAACAUUGCUUGGUUCUCUUUCAUUUUGCCUCCGAGUGAGGUGAGGUAAGUGGAGAAAUCAGGGACGAAAUACUGGCAUGGUCUUGGAGACAGGUUGGACGAAAUAGUUGUUGACCCAGUCAUUGCCUCCGAGAGUUAUGAGCACAAAUGCACUGUUCACUAGCCGUGUUACUUGUUUUGCGGUGCCAAAUGUUGAUGCACAAAAUCAGCGAGGACUUUGGUACAACAGAAAGUGUCAGGUUCGUGACCUUCGCUUGCUUCGAUCACUAGUGAAGAUAAGUACGUAAAUGAAUAAGGACAGGGAAGCAAACACAAGAUGUACGUGGUUCACCCAGAUCGGCUACGUCCACGGAGUAGAGGAGUUCUCAUUAAUUGUGAAGGGUUUACACAAAUACAUAGGUUCAAGCUCUCAUUUUGUGAGUUCUAGUGAAUAGUUUAGUACAAAAUGACAUUAGAGAUUAUUGUGGGAGAAUGAUCCCUAUUUAUAGAGGAGAGUUUCUAGUUUUGUUCUAACAUUGACACGUGUCGUGUUGUGAUUGGCUUCUGAUGUUGACACGUGUCGAGCUGUGAUUGGCUUCUGAUGUCGACACGUGUCGCAUUGUGAUUGGCCUCCUGGUUGAAGGGAAGCUCUUCUGGGUCCUUGAUGGUAUAACGUUGACCGGUGCUCAGUAGUUUCGGGAUUGGUCAAGUAUGGUACAAAUAGUACUCCCCUAAGUUCCCGAGUAAGGGAAGCUCCUCGGUUGGGGACUUGCAAGAUCCAAGCCAUUGAGUAAUCACGAAACUUCUAAGUACUGAAGUGUGGUAUCAUUUUCACGUGCCUUAUCUGUCUCAUAUGUAGAUGUGGCAUCUUCUCUGGAAGUACUUUUCCUCCAUCCAUGGGUGGUAUCUUUAACCGAUGAAGAUACACAAGGUAAUGUAUCAAUUUCACUUGAAGCUUACUUGUAGUUUCGGGCUUGGUCAAGUGCGAUACAAACCCUAUAGUAGGAGUCCCCCAAGUCGCCGAGCUAGGAGAUCUGCCGAAAGAGGUGACAGACAAGGUAAGCAGUCAAACUUCCAAGCAAGCAACCCAGGAUCGGAGGUUCGACUUUGGCUUCCGGUUGAUUGUUCUCCUUCUCCUUGUCUCUCAUUCAGCUGCCAGGAUAAGGAGAAGCAAAUGGAGAAGAGAUGAUAUGAGAUACUUUUGCUUUUGAAGAAGUAACUUUCCACAGGCUUAUUCUUGAACUGUGCUGGAGGGUUUUCUGGUUCCCUUCAGAGUAUAAGGCCGACUCAAGAAUUUGAGGGUCAAAACAAGUCCAUCAAAUCUAGAGUACGUUCGACCUUGAUGAUAUGGGAUACUUUUGCUGUUGACGGAAUAAUGAAUGUGGUAUGGAAAGGUGUCGUGCUGUAGUGAUCUGUUUCAGCUCACCGUUGAACCUUCUGCUUCAAUCUUUUGCAUAGCAGAAGUGGUGUGCAACCUUUGCAUUUAAAUGAUCAUUCAGAACAUUCCUUCAUAGUGACUCAUCCACGCUUGGCAGCUUCAGUGUAAAGAGCCAAUAUCUGAUCAACUGUCAUGAGGUAUGUGCCGGUGGAAUUCAUGACCUUGACAGCAGUUGAGGAUGAGUUCUCGAGAGAAAUGCUAAGUAAGCAACCAGGCAAAGGUCUCAGACAGUCAGUUCCAGAUUGGAGGUUUGAUUUCAGGUUCCGACUGACUGCUCUCUUUCUCUUUGUCCUGCAGGUGUGGACAAGGACAGGGAGAAGCAUGAUAUGGGAUACUCUUGCUUUCGACCCUGAUGAUAUGAGAUACUCUUGUUCUUGGUGUGGCUUAUUUGCUGAGGUAUUAUCGGGGGGAAAUAAAGCUGAGUAUUUCGAGAAGUUAUGUUGAGGGUGCAUUCUCGAAUGCGAGAAAGGGUUGAGCAUUUUUGCAGGUUUGCCUGUCCGUUGAGGAGGGAGGUCGAUGUAUAUAGGGAUUUCCCAAUAACAAGUAGUAAUGCUAUUCCUUUACCCUUCUUGGUCACAGCAAUGUAGUGGGAGCUGCCAGCUUCAUGUGUUUUAACUUUGUCAGAGUACUUUGAAAAAGUGGUAUGUGGUAUCUGGAAAGCUGAUGUUGCGUGUGAAGAUUACAGACAAGCUUUAUCUAAGGAAAUCUGGCUCUCGAAGUUUUGAGAGUUGUGCCUCUUCGGUUUUCGAACAAGCAAUCCUGUCGGGGAUCUGGCUCUCAAGAUUCGGAAAGCGGUGCCGCUUCGGUUUUUGAGAAAGUAAUUAUGUUGGGAGUCUUUUCUCGAAUGUGAGUAAAGGUUGGACGUUCUUGCCAGCCUGUCUUGCCACAGAACAUGGAGGUCGACACACAUAGGGACUUUCCAGUUGUCAAGCAGUGGUUCUGUUCCUUUACCCUGUGGGUAAUAGUAGGGUAGCUGGAACUUCGAAAUUCUCGUGCCUAAACUUUGUCAGAGAUCUUUGGCAAAGUUAUAUGUGGUACCCGAGGAGUUGAUGGUGCGUGUGGAGUGGUGAUUGAACAGUAAGAUUCAUGUGCUUUCUACUUCACCAGAAAUCUUCGACAGAUUGCCCGUAAUUUUCGCAAAGCUGAAUGUGCAUGUGACAGGUGCUGACGAGGACGAAAAAGCAGGUGCUUCUUCGAUUUCUGAGAUCGACCAUCGUGGUCUCUGAGCAGCUCAGCUUUCGAGAAAGCAAACGCAUAUUCGAUUCCUGAAGCUCCGUCAAGUGCAGAUUUUUAUAGAGGUUGUCAUUAAGUUCCACAGCACACUUGAAUCUCCACCAGUAGAAGCUCCCUUCUUGCACUUUUAAGAUCUUGAUUUGUCUGACCUCUUCCCUCUUCAACACCUUUGAAAAUGUCUAGCCCCUCCGACCGUCGUUUUGACUUGAACAUUGGAGAAGAGACAGCCACGCCUUCUCCAGACAACAUAUGGCGUCCAUCCUUCAUAUCCCCUACUGGUCCUCUUAUCGUUGGGGAUUCUGUGAUGAAGAAUGAUAUGACCGCUGCGGUGGUGGCCAGGAACCUUCUCACUCCCAAAGAUAAUAGACUACUUUCCAAACGGUCUGAUGAGUUGGCUGUUAAGGAUUCUCUGGCUCUUAGUGUUCAGUGUGCAGGUUCUGUGUCUAAUAUGGCCCAACGCCUAUUUGCUAGAACCCGCCAAGUUGAAUCAUUAGCUGCUGAAGUGAUGAGUCUCAAAUAGGAGAUUAGAGGGCUCAAGCAUGAGAAUAAACAGUUGCACCGGCUCGCACAUGACUAUGCUACAAACAUGAAGAGGAAGCUUGACCAGAUGAAGGAAUCUAAUGGUCAGAUUUUACUUGAUCAUUAGCGGUUUGUGGGUUUGUUCCAAAUGCAUUUAUUGUCUUCGUCUUCUGGGGCUGUACCGCAUAAUGAAGCUCCAAAUGAUCAACCUCCAAUGCAUCUUCCUUCUGGGGUUCUUUCCAGUACUGAGGCUCCGGAUAACCACCCUCCGGUGCUUCUCUUUCUGGGGCUCUACCGACUGCUGAGACUUCCCCUAAGCAACCUUUGUGAAGGCUCCCUCUUGUUUGUUUAUUUUGAUUCAUGUAUAUGUACAUAUUUGUAACUUAUCGGGAAUAUCAAUAAACAAGAUUUGCUUCAUUUCAACGUAUUGUGUUAAAUACACCAAGGCCUUCUUCACUAAGUUCUUUGAAUUUUUCCUUUUGUUGAAGCUUGUAUGUUGAAACUUUGUGAGUGAAGCAUGUAGGUUGAGGUAGUGCUCCCUUAAUUUCCCGAGUGAGGAAAACUUCUCGUUUGGAGACUUGAAAAAUCCAAGUCACUAAGUGGUCGUGAGACUUCCAAGUAUCAAGGUGCAGUAGCAUAUGGUAGGAGUCCCCCAAGUCUCUGGUCGAGGGAGUUGACGAAUGAGGCAUUUCCUUUCUAAGUGGUAGCCCAAAACUCCUUCUUCAUAUAUAUUUGUUAUGAAAGUUGUUAGGCCCAAAGAAGAUGAGGCCUAGGCAAUUUUUUUUUAUUUUUUUGUGAUUUUGCAGAUCCACGGUGGUGGUAUGAAAAAUUGAGAGAGAAACCGACAUAGUUUUCGUAUCGAUUCCCAUAGACGGCACUAAAUGUUGAUGCACAAAACCGAAGGUCUUGGAACAACGUAAAUCCGACCGUGAAUCUGCAAGAAACAUAAAUGACACAAGAUGUAUCGUGGUUCACCCCAAGGUUUAGGCUACGUCCACACUGAUUGUAUUAUAUUUCUCUGUUGAAGAGGGAGAGAGAGCUUAGAGCUUAGGGGAUGUGAGGAGGCUCCAGAAAUGGCCUCCCCUAAUUGUGAGGGUGAGGGGUCCUUUUAUAAAAUAAGGACUCCUCACUUAUUACAUAUUUGCCCAUUCCUUUAUCACAUAAUUACAUUUAAGUCCCCUGAGUAUUUGUACGAGAUCUAAAUACGAGGCCUUAAAUAUGGUAUAAACAACACCACCAGUUGUAAAUGGAACUCCUCUAGAGUUACUAGUAAAUCCUUGCGAUAGUCCCUGCAUAUAUAGACCUGAGAAAUUAUGAGACACAAUAUUCAAGAUAGAUUCCACUUUUCUCUCUGCACAUAACAACUACUCACAAAAUUCUCUCAAGGAGAUAGGGGUAUCCCUGGUAAGAAUCAUUGUCCUAAUGGUAGAAUAUUCUCGAGGUAACCCAGAUAACACAUCAAAGAUAAAGUCAUUAUCUGAAACAAUUUCACCAUCAUUAAGUAAUUGUUCUUUAAUAUUCCUGAGUUUUGACAAGAACUGAUCCAUUGAAUCUCAUUAUUUCUACAAAGUUUGAAACUCGGUCUUUAGAGUAUUGACUUCAGCCUUGGACAUGAUGCAUACUUAUCUUGUAAGCUAAACCAAGCUUCAUGUGCAGUUCUGCAUCCAAGAACAUGCUCAAUUGCUUUAUCAGAUAAUGUAGCAAGAAGUAAACUUAACAAUGCCAUAUCAAAAGAUUCCCAUUCCAAGAAAGAUGUUGUGACUUCUGUAGUAACCCUAUUUUCUAUAUGAAUGACAUACUUUGGAGGACACAUAGCAAAUCCAUCAAAGUGAUCAAACAACUUAUACCCUUUCAGGAUUGACUUGAAUUGAAAAGCCCAUUUAGAAAAAUUUCGAUCAUUCAGUUUAAUUGUCAACAUCCCCAAUACUCCCUUAAUCUUUACACCAGGAACUGUCAUUUUUUUUUUCACAAAUUGAAGUAUUACACAGAGGUAACUACAACUAACACCCAAGAAUUGCAGAAAACAUACAAGAAUGGCUUCGUGCCACUGAGAUUAUAGCAGAUAAUGGUUUCGUGCCGCAACAAACUAAUCAAGGAAAUAGCUUCCUUCACAAUUCAAGAAAAUGACUCUGUGCCUUAACAAUUCAACAAGAAAAUGACUUUGUGCCCCAAAAAAACUUCACAAUUUAACAAGAUACCAGCUUCAUGCCCCAAGAAACCCAUAAAAAAAAAAGUAAAAAUCAUGACUUCAAAAUGAAACAUAUCACCUGAGAUCGACAAAGACGAAUAAUUACUCAGAUCUGCAGUUACAAAAAUCUUCAAUAGAUGAACCUUCAACACGAACUCCCCAAAAAAUCCAGAUGAACCUUCAGCACAAACUCCCUAAAAGACCCAGAAUUGCAGAGCCCAAGAACAUUCACAGACCCACAGUGGACCGACGAAUCUUGAUACCAUGUUAACAGAUGUAUUUCCAGCAAUCCAUGGCUAUGAAGAAUGAUUCGAAGAAGCAAAAAAUAUAAGUAAAGAAGAGUGAUGUUUGAGAAAUAUAAAGAGAAAGCUCUGAUUGUAUUGAAGUAG